CCACAUUGCCAACAAGACUGCCCCCUCUACCAAGCAUUCCCUCAGUCCCCACAAUCCCAACUGCAAUUCCCCCUAUUCCUUUCUCUUUUCCACCAUUGCCAUCUUUCCCUAAUCUCCCAAACCCUGGGGCACUUCCUCCACUUCCUACCACAUUGCCAAGAGGACUGCCCCCUCUGCCAAGCAUUCCUUCAGUCCCCACAACCCCAACUACAGUUCCCUCUAUUCCUUUCUUUUCUCCACCACCUUCUCAAUCUACUCCUUGAAGUACCCCAUUUUUUUUAUCUGCUGCAACUGGAUCUGGUUUAAUAAGGUUUUUAGUCGUCUUUGUGUCUUUAUUAUGAGUAUUGAUUUUUCCCACUUAUAUUUGUUUGUAUAAAUAGGACUUCUCCAAUUCCCAUUAUUUGAUGUACUUUGAUACGUUGUUGCUUAUUAUAUAUGGGGUAUUUAUAUAUUGAUGUUUUUCCAUGAAGUAAUUAAUUACUGUUAUGAGUUUGGCUAAUUAAGAAAAGAAUCAAAAAAAUGCAGUCAAGAUAAUGAGCAGCCAUACAUCGAGAAGAUGCCUUUGUAGAUAUAAUAAUUCCUGCUUCAUUAUCUCUUUGAAGUUAUCCAUUUACAUAUACGAUUACUUUCCUCUUUUAAUAUAUUUCCAAGAUAAUAUUUUAUAUGAAUGUCUUUAAAUUCGGGUAGUCAGUUUUAUAUAGAUUUCGGUUAUACUAAUUUGUGUGCAUUGUUUUAAUUUUAUAUCAAAAUAUUAAUGUUUUUGAAAUUAAAUCGAUAAUCAAAUCAAUUAAUUCAUCAAUUUUUGAUUCAGUAGAUUCAACCAUCGAUAUAAUUAAUUUACUAUUCAACAAUAUAAAAUAAUAUUAAUUAUUAAAAACCCCAAACUCCUCUAUUUUUAAGGCUUUGAAUUUUAAAAUCCUCUCCCCAUCUUUGAUCUUUCCUAAUUUAUCUUCUUUUUUCCCUUUGAUUGAAUGUUAUAUGUCCAUCUUAGUUUUUCACCAGCAAAAAAAACUUAUUUCAGUAGAAAAAGUAAGAAAAGAAAUGGUGGUUAUUUUUUUAUGUUAGUGUUUUAUUUCAUUGAGUGCAGAAAUGAAGUGUAACAAUAGCUCAAGGGAUUUGAAGUGAAAUUUUUAUUUUUUCGAUUUAGAAAAUGUGAAAAUACGGCUUAAUCGACUAAUGAUUUGCAGUUUAACUGCAGUUUACUCUAGUUCUCGUGCUCAUUGGUUCUUAUUCUGUUUGGUUAGGUUCUAAUAACAUUGAGAAACACCUAACCCCAUUUUUCUACACUAGUGAAAAUUUUGGUCUAUAACACCCUAAACUCGACCUAGGCGUUCAAAUCAAGUUGGAGACUCACAUCAACCGUUCUAAAAGCCAUACCACUAUAACGCAAUCAAAUUAGACAAGUCGCCACAUAUUAUUCAUCACAAUAGUAAUUUAAAGACAUAAUCUUCAUAAAUCAAUAACAUCAUAAAACAAAUAUCCGUAAUAAUAAUGCUAGCAGAAUAUCAAUAAGUGUCUAACCAAGCUUCCGUGACACCGUUCCGAUCAAGACUGAUUACCAUCUGAAACCCAAACAAUAACAGGGUGAGUUUCAAGCUCAGUGCGUAAAAAGGAAUGUGAUUCAACAACGGUGACUUAUGGAGAAUAUCCAGUUCAGAGAUUCAGUUCAUCCUUGAAGCCUGUUUGAUCUAGGCUCAGAGCAGAGGUAUUACAUAUGUAUACAUGUAUUAUUCCAGUUCAAAUAUAGUUCAGAUCAGAUUCAGAUGCAAUGUUUCUAUUUCUAUCCUCUACACACCACUAUGGACAUUUAAUGCCCAUCUAUCUCUGUACAUCUUUAAAGUGUUCAAUGACACUUUCACAAAAAUGUAGCGUAGCUGCUAGUUCAAUGUGCGACAAGCGCUAGAAUCAAAGUGAUACUUAUUGUGGCAUAGCCAUGUUUUCAGUACAGACUCACCUUCUUCCUCACAAUCUCCCACCACAUGUUAAUGCGUAAUACAAUAAUCCGUAACACAUGUUUAACCAUUCUGAUAAAAUACAUAAUUAAUAAAAACCGUUCAAUAACAAAGUGGUGUUACAGUCCAUAUUCAAGAAUGUGAUUCACAGAUCAGUCUCAUGUAAGCAAAUUUAGUCAUUCGUAAAUCAAGGAAACCAAUAUUAGAGUUUAGCACCCUUCUCAGCCUCAAAAACAGUUCUCGGAUCCAACAUCCUGCCUCACGGCCUGGGCCCAUGCCCGUGCGCCUUAGCCGUGUGGUUUUUACACCUCAAACAGUGACUUACAUGGGGCAAAUGUCCAUGUCCCUGGCCAUGUGAACCCUGCACUAAAAUGGCCACACACGGCCUGAACACACGCCUUUGUGGUCGUCGGUGUCUUCUUAAUUCAAUAAACAGUGAGUUACACGGCUGUUCACACGGCCUCCACACACCCGUGGGACACACAAUGCCUAGUCAUACACCCGUGUACCUGUUGUGUGGCGUUGACAGCCAUCAUUUUCGAUGAGAAAACUAGCAAAAACUAAGGCUUCCAUUACGUACCUGAGACAAUUUCAAAGUAGUGACAAUAAAGAGAAUUUUUGAAACCUAAAACUACCAUUCAAUAACUCAAUCAAUCAAGUUUAUCAACAACAAUGCACAAUUAUACUCAAAAUACCUAUGUCAAAAGUUUUGACACCAACUUCCAAAAAAAUCAAUACUUACAAAAAAUUAACAACGAUUACUCGAAUUGACUUGCUGAGGUUCACUGUUUUCAAUAUCCCCGCCUAACAGGGAAACCAAACGAUUAACUAUCAGAGAUUCACGCAACAAACUCAAACAACCAUCUCAAAGUAUAAUAUGUAAAGAAAAAAGAGAAAACCUAAAAUUUAACGAAUCGACAUCAAAACUUACUCAAUAACCUCCCAAAAUAAAAUGCUAACAAUGUAACUUCAACCUAAAAUUUAACGAAUCAACAUCAAAACUUACUCAAUAACCUUCUAAAAUAGAAUGCUAACAAUGUAACUUCAACUAGUCCGUAUUCCUUACGACAAUUAAAGAGGAAAAGGGAAAAUUGAAAAAGAAGAAAAAGUAGAGAAGGAAGAAAAAAAAAAGGGAAAAAUGAAAAACAAUAGGAAAGAAAAACUAACGUUAAUUGAUUAUCAAUUAACUUCCAUUCAGACUUCCAACAUUUAGCAAAAAUAUUUUCCUUACGCAUACAAAGAAUUGAACUUAAGCGAACCAUCAGGCUCAUUCUUGUCACCAUUUUACAAAGAAUUGAACUUAAGUGGGUAGUGCUUGUUUGCGGGUUGGUUCUAAAACAACAAAACUUUUAAUAAUGCGACUCGAACUUCAGACCUUAAACUCAAUCACAGAUUACAAAACCAUAGAUACAAAAAUUAGUUACUGUAUAUUUUCAUAAACAAGUUCUUAAAAUUUUGGGGCAUUACAACUCUCUCCCCCUAAAGGAAAUUUUGGCUCGAAAUUUUUACCUAAGUCAAACAGAUACAGAUAUAGCCAUCGGAUAGAUUCCUCCGGCUCUCACGUGGCUUCCUUAGUACUGUGAUUCCGCUAGAGGACCUUCACUAGAGGAAUAGUUUUCUUUCUCAGUUUCUUAAUGUCACUUUCUAAGAUCUGAAUAGGCUCUACCUCGAAUGUCAAGUCUGGUCGUAAUUCGACCUCGUCAAUCGUAACGAUAUGUGACAAAUUCAAUCGGUACCGUCUCAACAUCGAGGCAUGAAACACAUUAUGAAUUCAAUCCAGCUCCGAUGGUAACUCUAACUUGUAAGCAAUAGGUCCAACUUACCUUAAGAUACAGUAAGGCCUUAUGAAUCUCGGGCUUAGCUUUCCGUUACGUCCAAAUUGGAGGAACUUUUUCCAAAUUGAUACCUUUAGAAACACUUGAUCACCUAACGAAAACUCAAUAUCCUUCUUUUUUAAAUCUUCAUAAGACUUUUGUCUAUUAGACAUGGCUUUCAAUCGAUCCUGAAUUACAUUCACAAUGCUCUCGAUUUCAGAAACCAGCUCAGAACCCAAUAGACGGCGUUCACUCAACUCCAUCCAACAUAACGGAAUAGGGUACUUACGACUAUAUAUAGCUUCGUAAGGUGCCAUCUGAAUACUAGACUGAAAGUUAUCAUUGUAAGCAAACUUCGUUAACGGUAGAUACUCCUUCCAACUACCUCUGAAGUCUAUCACAAAACCCCGAAGCAUAUCUUCUAGAAUCUGAAUGACUCGUUCUGACUGUCCAUCGGUCUGAGGGUGAUAUGUAGUACUAAACUUAAGUCGAGUGCCUAAAGCCUCAUGAAGUUUCUUUCAGAACCGAAAGGUAAAUCGCAGAUUUCUACAAUGAAUAAUCCAUUCGGAUAGCAAUGAAAUGAGCCGAUUUGGUCAACUGGUCAACUAUAACCCAAACUGAAUCCUUUUUAGCAGGAGUUAAGGCAACCCUGUAACAAAAUUCAUUGUUAUCCGCUCCCAUUUCCACUGCGAAAUCUUUACCAGUUGAAGCACUCCAGAGGGCAACUAAUGUUUGGCUUUAACCUUUUGACACGUAAAAUAGUAGGACACAAAAGUGACUACCUCCCGUUUUAUGGCAAGCCACCAAUAGAGUUCUCGGAGAUCCUGGUACAUAUUAUUUCCACCAGGAUGCAUAGCAUAUAGGCUAUUGUGUGCCUCCUGUAAAAUCGAGUGCCUUAAUUCUUUGUCAUUAGGUACACAUAUCCGACAUUUGAAGCAUAACACAUUAUCGGUAUUCAAGCUAAAAUCAAAAUUCUCGUCUGAGCCAACAUGUUGCAAUCGCUGUAUUAAGGAUUCGUCGUUUUGUUGUUUAGCUCAACUUUACUCUAUCCAAACCGGUUUCACCUGGAGUUCAGCUAACAACCCUCCAUCCUCAACCAAACUCAAACGAGCUAACAUUGCUCUCAGAUCUGCCACUGCUCUAUGGCUAAGGGCAUCAGCUACCACAUUAGCCUUACUUGGAUGAUAUUCUAUGGUGCAAUCAUAAUCUUUUAGUAACUCGAUCCAUCGGUGCUGACGAAGGUUCAACUCUUUUUGGGUUAACAAAUAUUUGAGGCUAUUAUAAUUAAUGUAAAUAAUACACAUUUCACCAUACAGAUAGUGCCUCCAAAUUUUCCAAGAAAAUACAACCUCAGCUAACUCAAGAUCGUAGGUGGGGUAAUUACCCUCAUGUGUCUUCAUCUUCUACGAUGCGUAACCAACUACAUUACCAUCUUCACUAAGCACACAUCCUAACCCAACAUGUGAAGCAUCAUUGUAAACCAAAAUUGAACCAAAACAGGAGCUUGUGUCAGAACGGACUUGAGUUUAUCGAAACUAGACUACUGUGCCUCAGACCACAUGAAUGGAGUAUUCUUAUGUAAUAGCUUCAUCAAAGGUGAUGCAAUCAGAGAAAACCCUUCGACGAACCUUCGGUAGUACCCAAAGAAACCAAAGAAGCUACAAAGUUCGGACGCGUUUUUUGGCUGUUUCCACUAAAAAACAGCUUUAAUUUUCUUGGGAUCAACUUGCAUCCCUUCCACCGUCACCACAUGACCCAAAAAGGUGACCUCCUGCAACAAAAACUCACACUUGUUGAACUUAGCAUACAACUGUUUUCCUCGCAGUAUCUGAAGUACAAUACGAAGAUGACCAUCGUGCUCAAUUUUAAUUUUAGAGUGGAUCAAAAUAUUAUCAAUAAAAACCACUACAAAUUUAUCCAAAUACGGUUGAAACACCCGAUUCAUUAAUUCUAUAAAUGCCACCGAGACAUUUGUUAAUCUGAAAGGCAUUACCAAAAACUCGUAAUGUCCAUAACAAGUUCUGAAAGUAGUUUUGUACACAUCAGUCUUUUUGACCUUGAGCUUAUGGUAACCUGAACGUAGGUCAAUUUUUGAAGAGACGUACGCUCCCCGAAACUGGUCGAACAAGUCAUUAAUCCUUGGUAACGAAUACUUAUUCCUGAUCGUCAACUUGUUCAACUGCCUAUAGUCAAUACACAUCCUCAUCGGCCCAUCCUUCCUCUUAAAAGACAAUAUCGGUGCCCCCCACGAAGACACACUCGGUCGAAUAAAUCCUCUAUUAAGGAGUUUCUGAAGCUGUGCUUUUAAUUUAGUCAGUUCUUUCAACACCAUAUGAUAAAGCGCAAUGGACACUGAAGCAAUACAUGGUAACGGAUCAAUUCUAAACUCCAUAUUUCUAUCCAGAGGUACUCCAGGCAAUUCCUCGGGAAAGACAUUUGGGAAUUCUCUUACGGUACAGAUAUCUCCUAUUGACAACUUUUUGGAAGCAGAAUCGGAUACAUAAGCUAGGUAUGCCUUACACCCCUUUCGGACCAAUUUGUUUCCUGGUGAAGUAAUCUCGACGCUCUCCAACCAUUACCACCUUGUCAUUCUCAAUCAGUUUCAGAGUAACUCUUUUGGUUGUACAGUCUAAACUGACCCAAUAUUCAACGAGUCAAUCCAUUCCCAGAAUUAAAUCAACCUCGUUAAAGGGCAAUCCCAUUAAAUCAGCUGGAAAUAUCAUACCCUGAAGCUCUAAGGGUACUCUUCUAUAUACUCUAUCGACUCGAAUUAACUGACCUAACGAACUAACCAUAGAAAACUCUCUAGCAAUAUUCUCAGCAGUUAAACCCAGAGUUACAGAAACAACACUAGCUAUGUACGAAUGAGUAGAGACAAUUUCAAUAAGAGUAUAAUACGGUACAAAGUGGAUAAAGAAGGUACCUGCAAUGACAUUAGCAUUAUUGCUUUCCUCGCGACGUCUAGUCAUAUAAACCAGUACCGGUUGACGAGCCUCAACCUAACCAGCACAUUUACCCGGUGUUCACUGUCCUCUCCUAACUUAGUUACCACCAUCCCUAUCAGUACCACGACCUCUAAAAGGUUGCUGAGUCUCUCUCGGAGGUCUAACAGAGUUUAGGGCCGAAGUCUGUAUGACACCUAGCUCUGAAUUAGGUCAACAGGAUCGAACCACAAUAGAGGCACGCUCUUAAUUUCCUCUAGCAUUUGCCCUGGUGGCGCUUCCUACAAUCAGUACACUGCUGAAUCUCUGUCACUACAACUGGUGUCCCGACCCUUGGAGACAUGUCAAACCUCACCCGCUUCUUAGGGCGUUGAGCAGAACUAGAGGGACUCGAAUCCCUCUUAAGUUUAUUCUGAUCCUUCUUACAAUCGCGCCGUUCACACUCAAUGCACUUCACUUCUUUUACUAUUUUCACUUUAUCAACCAAAAUCACGAAUACCCGCUCCUUCAGAGGAGCUAUCUAAACCCACAGAUCAUAUCUCAAGCCUUCUUCGAGCCUCACACACUUGUUGUAGUCAAACGCUACCAAAGUCCAUGCAUAUUUUUUCAAGAGUAGAAACUCGGCUUCAUACUCAGCCACAGAUCGGUCACCCUGAACUAGACUCAAAAACUCGCAUCGGUGAGCCUCAACAUAGCUUACCCCCACAUACUUACCCUUGAAGGCAUUCUUGAAAUAGUCUCAGUUUACUUGCUCAUGCUGAGCACCGUGCUCAACAGUUAGCCAUCACUGAUAAGCUUUGUCUUGGAGUAGAGACACUGCGCCCCUCAAUUUUUGAGUAGGAGUGUAGUCAAAAUCUAUCAUAACACGUUCGGUAGCCUUGAGUCAAUACUCAGCAAUAGUAGAGUGAUAUGACUGAGCCCCGAGACUCAUCAAGGGAUGACAAGGAACCUUUGAGGCUGCCCUUUGGACUGAUAACUCAAGCUCGAGCCAAAAGAUUCAAAGAGGCUGUUCCAGCUUUAGCUGAUCGAGUAUGGAGAGCAAAUGUUGUUGGGCUCAUUGAAUGAACAUGGACAAGUCACCCGAGCAAGCCUUGCAACCUUCUACAAGCCCAUCUUGUUCAUUCAUAGCCCAUUGAGCUCAACCCCAACUUGUUUUUAACUUAGCAAUAUUUUGUUGCUAGAAAUAAGGAUUUCAAUCCAUUUUAGUUAUUCUAGUUUUUUCUUUAAUUAUGUCACAGUUUGAACAUCAUUAAUAUGUGUUCUGCAUUUAAUAAAGUCAUGCAUUAUGUAACUUUCAUGUUAGUUAAGUUUGCAUCAUUAAAUUAAGUCAUGCAUUAAGUAACUCAUUUGUUCAUUUAGUUUACAUCUUAAUUAAAUUAUGCAUUUAAACAUCUUAUUUGUUUGUAUUAGAGUGUUAUUUAAUUUGGCUGUUACUUUUUCAUAAGUUAUAGUGUGUUUAAUUGUUCUUAAAUAAAAUUAAUUGUGUGUUCAAUUUUUGUUGUAGGAAAGUUCAAAAGGCUGGACACAUAUUUUAAAGCUACAAUAGGGUUGUUCAUUUGCCAAGAAGAAUCAAAUGCUGUCACAUUCAAAUGGUUGUUCAAUUUUGGCAUAAAAGAGUGUACAUUUGGUCACUUAAUUAUUGGUACAAAAAGGGAACGUUUUUGCUCGAUAUUGAAGCACUAAAAGCUCAUUAUGGUGGCUUUUCAAAUAGACCAAGAGUGUCUCCACAAGUCUGAUCAGUUUUUGGAGUCUUUUUCCUUCAUUAUGAUGCCAUUAAAAGAGGAAGUUACACAAGCUUUAUGAUUCGGUUACAAGGGAGUUGAAGGGACAUCAACUAAGUAUAAUAAUGACACAUUAAGUCUUUAUUAAUGGACAGAGUCAUGCAUUUUCAUCUACACCAGGAUCAAAUGAAGAGACAUGACCAUUGGAUUUCUUACAUGAGUUAAAAAUGAAAUUAGGGUUUGUAAUAACCUUAGUUAAUUGCUGAAGGUGAAAGGUCACAAAUAGGCAUUCGAAUAGCCAUAAUAGUGCCUAUAAAUAGAUUGUAAAAAAACAUUAUUUUGGUUAAGAAAACUUUUUAUACUUUUAUGAAUUUUACAUCUUUGUGAGUAUAAUUCAACUCUCAUUGUUUUUCUAAGACUCAAGCUGACUUAUCUAGCAUUGCUAGUGGCAUCCAACUUACUUUCUUUGUGAACUUAUCACUCUUUGAGUGUAGCGUUCAACCUAGAUACCUUUGGUUCCUAUCUCCUUAUAGAUAAUGAGUCAACGUCCUUUUAAACCAUCAAUCUUUCGACCUUAAAAGUCAAUAUAAGAUUCAGGUCAAUACUCCUUAUAGUAUUGGUUCUUUCUUGGACCUUAACCUUUUUCCAUCCAUCCGAAUUAUUCUUUUCAAAGUUAUCUUAUUUUUCUUUGUUUAACUGAAACAUUCACUUUGACUAUUCCAAAACACUUAAAAACCAUCUUUUCUUUAGCCUACACUUAGUCGAGUUCACUCAACUCCAAAUUGAACAAAACUUCUCUAUUUUAUGAUCGGGCAAAAUUACGACUCGAAAUCAACUCACGAGAUAAGAUUGUAUCAAGGAGCUAUUCCUAUGAUGCCCCUAAAUAGUUCAGCACCAUUCGACCAAAGUUGUUUAGUAAUCGACCCUUGGCCUCCCAAUCUUUGAUGGAUCCCAGCGACCCUCUCAAGAGCCCAAAUCAUGGCCUGGGACAGUGCGUUGUCCCUAGCCGUAGGAGUCUAAGACUCCGCCUCUGCAGUGGGAGUACCAACUGUAUCGUUGGUCUUCAGAUUAGGCAUGCUACCCAUAGAGGAUGACUCGGCUUGAGCUCCUUCUCGGCGUCCUCAACAACCUCACAUACCCGGUCCACGACUACUACGCGAACUCAUAUUGCAAUCUAGCUACAAUUUCAGAAUACACAGAUCAGUUCACAUAUCCAGCAAAACGGUUUCACUAGUUUACACCAAGCAAUCUACCAAUAACAGUUAGGUAUCAUAAUCUUUACAACAGAACAGAAAUACUUACUAGGUCAGCAUCGGAGGCUCGAUCGUUCCCUAAUGUUUCAAUGUUUCUAUAUUAAUUUGGUUACUAAUUAUUACUAGCCAUAAUUCUCACACAUUAAGAGCCUAAACACAGUCCGAGUGUUGACAAACCUGGCUUUGAUACCACUAAAUAUAACACCCUAAACUCGGCCUAGACGUCUAGACCAAGCUGAAAAGUUACAUCAACCGUUCUAAAAACCAUACCACUAUAACGUAAUCAAAUUAAACCAGUCGUCACAUAUUAUUCAUCACAAUAGUAAUUUAAGACAUAAUCUCUAUAAAUCCAUAACAACAUAAAACAAAUAUCCCUAAUAAUAAUGCUAGUAGAAUACCAAUAAAUGUUUGAGCAACCUUCUGCGACACCGACCUGAGCAAGACUGAUAACUACCUGAAACCUAAACAAUAUUAGGGUGAGUUAUGAACUCAGUUCGUAAAAACGAAUGUAAUUCAACAACGGUGACUUAUGGAGAAUUUCCAGUUCAGAGAUUCAAUUCAUCCUAGAAGCAUGUUUGAUCUAGGUUCAGAAUAGAGGUAUUACAUAUGUAUACAUGUAUUAUUCCAAUUCAGAAAUAGUUCAGAUCAGAUUCGAAUGCACUGUUCCUAUUUCCAUCCUCUACACACCAACUUUUUCCAUCCCAACAUACCACUAAUGACAUUUAAUGCCCGUCCAUCCCUUCACACCUUUAAAGUGUUCAAUGACACUUUCACAGAAACGUAGCUUAGCUCCUAGUUCAAUGUGCGACAAGCACUAGAAUCAGAGUGAUACUUAUUGUGGCAUAGCUACGAUUUCAGUAUAGACUCCCCUUCUUUCACACAAUCUUCCACGAUAUGUUAAUGCAGAAUACAAUAGUCCGUAACACAUGUUUAGCCAUUCUGAUAAAAUACAUAAUUAAUAAAAUAGUUCAAUAACAGAGUGGUGUUACAGUGCAUAUUCAAGAAUCUGAGCCACAGAUCAGUCUCAUGUAAGCAAAUUCAGUCAUUCAUAAAUUGAGGAAACCAAUGUCAGAGUUUAGCACCCUUCCCGCCCUCAAAAACAGUUCUCAGAUCCAACAUCCUGCCACACGACUUGGGCUCGCCCUCGUGUGCCUUGGUCAUGUGGUUUUUAAGCACAAAUAGUGUGUUACACGACCUGGGCAUAUGUCUGUGUCCUUGGCUGUAUGGUUUUAUACUACAAACAGUGACUUACACGGCCCAGGCACACGAGUGGUUUUUACACCCUGAAUAGUGAGUUACACAGCCUGGGCAUAUGCCCGUGUCUCUGGCCGUAUGAACCCUGCACUAAAAUGGCUAUGCAUGGCCUAAACACACGCCCGUGUGGUUGCCCGUGUGGUCUUAAUUCUAUAAACAAUUAAUUACAUGGUCGUUCACACGGCAUACUAUACGCUCGUGUGACGCACACAGCCAAGUCACACACCCGUGUACCUGACCAUAAGGCGUUGAUAGCCACAAUUUUCAGUGAAAAAACUUGCAAAAACUAAGGUUUUCGAUACACACUUGGGACGAUUUGAAGGUAGUGACAAUGAAGAGAAGUUUCGAAACUUAAAACGACCAUUCAAUAACUCAAUUAAUCAAUUUUAUCAACAACAAUGCACAAUUAUACUCAAAAUACCUAUGUCGAAAGUUUUCACACCAACUUUCAACGAAAUCAAUACUUAUAAAAAAAUCAACGACGAUUACUCGAAUUGACUUGCUGAGGUUAGCUACUCUCAAUAUUCCCCCCUAACAGGGAAACCAAACAAUUGACUAUCAGAGAUUCACGCAACACACACAAACAGCCAUCUCAAAGUAUACUAUGUAAAGCAAAAAGAGAAAACCUGAAAUUAACGAAUUGACAUCAAAACUUACUCAAUAACCUCCCAACAGAAAAUGCUAACAGCGUAACUUCAACUAGUCCAUAUUCCUUACGACAAUUAAAUAGGAAAAGGGAAAAUUGAAAAAGAAGAAAAAGUAGAGAAUGAAGAAAAAGAAAAAGGAAAAACAGGAAAAAUAAUGGGAAAGAAGAACUAACGUUAAUUGAUUAUCAAUUAACUUCCAUCCAGACUUCCAGCAUUUAGCAAAAAUAUUUUCCUUACGCAUACUAUGGGAUUCAAACUCGGAACCAGAUAGAAUACAGACAAUGUUUAACCAGUGAACUAACAGGCUCAUCCUCGUCACCCUUUUACAAAGAAUUAAACUUAAGCGGGUAGUGCAUGCUUGUGGGUUGAUUCUAAAAUAACAAAACUUUUAAUGAUGCGACUUGAACUUUAGACCUUAGAAUUUUGAGGCGUCAAACGGUCUGUACCAGUUGCACCAACUCAUUCUGAUCAAUUCCAGUUACACCUGCUGGAACAUAGUGCACCGUCCUGUGCAUGAAUAAUAUUAAAAAUUUAAAACUUUUAAUUAUUUACUAUUAUGCUAAAAACAUAAUUGAAACGUGACUAAAUAAAAAUGCUACAUCGGAAUGUAAAGUUUUUUUAAAAAAUGGAAUAUACUUUCACAUUCAAAAUAUAAUUAAGAAAAAAACCAUUCACCCGAUUAUCAAAAAAAAUCGUUCACCUUCCAGCUUCUUUUACUAAGUAAAUGAGCUAAAUCCUUAAAAUUUCAUAUUAAAUGAUGGAUUUUUAUUAUUAAUUUUGAAUUUAUUUGAAUGAUAAAUUUUUUUUUGUUAAAUUUAUUAAUAAAUAUUUUAUAUUUGAAAUGUAUUUAGUUUCAUUCAUUUUAUAUUUGUAAUAUAUUUAUAUACAUAUCUUAAAUAAUUUUAAAAAAAAUUGAUAAAUCUAAAAAGAUACAUAUCAAUUUGAGUAAAAAAAAAUCAAAUGUCCACUAAUACAAGGAAAAGAAAUCUCAAUUCUUAAAAUUUCAAUCCCUUUAUAUUUAAAGGUGAAGACAGUAGAAGAAAAAUAAGAAUAGGUAUUAACAAUGAAAUUAGAUUUGAAUAACGUUGUCGCUAGGCAUAAUUUAUUGACAAUUUUUACAAGACGUUACAUGUAUUUAAUAUGACAUAAAAAAUUUAUGUAAAAUUUUGGGAUGGAAUAGUUUAUCUGUAUAUUUUAUUUUUUAGGUUGGGAUUAAAAAAUUAACAUGUUUAUUUUACAAAUAACUCUGUAGUAUUAUCGUCUUUAAAAUAAAAUUAUCUUAACAUGUUUAUUUCGAAGGUGGAUGUUUAAAUUUCGACUUAAACACAAAGGCAAACUAAAUAAAUUCUAAUCUAAAUUUCAUUUAGCUCAAUUUAUUAUAAAAAAUUAACUGCGUAAUUAAAUCAAAUUCAAAUUGACUCAAAUUUAUCUAAACUUGAAAUGAUUUAAUCACAAAAUAACUCGAACUUAAAAUGAUCAAAAUCUAAAAUGAUUCGGAUCAAUAAUAACUAGACAUGAAAAACUUAGCCUUAAAUUUAAAUGACUUGAACCUUAAAUAAAAAAAAUCCGAAAAUGACCUAAACCAUAUUGGAAGUUUUCAUGUAUUUUAAAGAAUUACAUAUAAUACACAUAUUUUAGAUACACCUAUUAAAUGGUGUUUAUAUAGAUUUGGUUUACUAUAAACUUGUAAGACUAAAAAUAAGAGAAUACGUAUGUGCACACGAGGCUUGAGCCUAAUAGCUCAAUUCCAUUCAAAUGGGAAAAUUUUUUCAAUUUUUUCAUUGCCCAUGAUACAAACUAAAUCCUAGAAAUAGUAAAUCCACGAAUAUCCUUAAGAAUAGGGAUAUUCAUGCCUCAAGCUACAAUUCUAAUUUUCUAAACUUUUGACUUUUUAAUAAACCUAAAAUGAUCUUAAAAUUUUAAUACAUAAAUUGAGACCGUGAAAUCUUGAAGGCCAAAGUUUAAGUCACAUUGUGAAUAAAUUAUAUGUAAGCCAUACUUUAGAUUUAUUCUAAUUAUUUACUUCGCUUCUAAUGUACAUAAACUUUGCCAACAUGGAGGAUUAUUCAAGUAUUCUAUUUGACAUAUUACUUUAAUUAAGGGAAUAAAUCUAAAAAAUUUACACAUGAAUAUUGCCUCAAUCUAGAAUGUCAAAGGUAAACUUUAAUUUAAUGUGCAUUAUGACACUUAAAUUAUGUUAAUUUUGUGUAAUUGUAUAUAAUAAAUUUUGAUUUUGAUUUAAUUUAAUUUGGGUUUGAGGCUCGACUUUUUUGGCCUGAGUCAUUAUGGGUUUUGAUUAUUUCAUAUAUUGUGACAAUUCAACCGUUGUCUUUAUGGCUAAGAUGACAAAAGUGGAAGUCGAAGUAAACAUAUCGACAUUAAGUUUCUAGAUGAGCACAUUAACACUAAGCAAAUGUUAGCUGAUCCUUUGGUUAAAGGCAUGCCACCACCCAAAAUUUAAGGAUCAUGUUGUCAUUGUGGGACUUGUUCCCACAUUGUAAAAUUUUAUUAUAAGAAAGGAUUAUAAAAAAAUUGGUUAAAUUAACUCUAAGUCAUUAUAAAUUUGUUAAUUAAAGAAUAGGUAAAAUUAAUAGAAAAUAAAAAUAAAACAAAAACGUUGAUAAUAAGUUAAAAAUCAAUCCAAAUCAUUAUAGAUUUUUUAUUUAAAAAAUGAACUAUAAUUAAAAUGGAAAAAAUAAAAAACAUGGGGCGCUAUUUUGUUUUGGGGGCAUGAAUGGAGUAUUGUUUAAGGGCAAGGGAUUUCUAUUCACUGCUCCAAUGCCUAUAUAAGCCUCAAUACCAUGCUUUGUUUUCCUCAUUCACAACUAUUCAGAUAAAGAACUUUGUCUCAUCUGCUUCAUUUGUUUCGAAAUCUCUGAACAAAAAUGGCCUCUUUCAAUUGCUUUGCUUUAGCAUUCUUGAUGGCUUUGUCAUUUGCAAGCAUUGAUGUUGGGGUAGCAGCUCGUCACCUUCUGCAGCAGCCUCAAACGCAAAGUUUGCCAUCUUUCCCUAAUCUCCCAACGCCAUCCCGACCAUCAUUCCCAUGGCCUGGGGCGCUUCCUCCACUUCCUACCACAUUGCCAACAGGACUGCCCCCUCUGCCAAGCAUUCCCUCAGUCCCCACAAUCCCAACUGCAAUUCCCCCUAUUCCUUUCUCUUUUCCACCAUUGCCAUCUUUCCCUAAUCUCCCAAACCUUGGGGCGCUUCCUCCACUUCCUACCACAUUUCCAAGAGGACUGCCCCCUCUGCCAAGCAUUCCUUCAGUCCCCACAACCCCAACUACAGUUCCCUCUAUUCCUUUCUUUUCUCCACCACCUUCUCGUUCUACUCCUUGAAGUACCCCAUUUUUUUAUCUACUGCAUAUUGGAUCUGGUUUAAUAAGGUUUUUAGUCGUCUUUGUGGCUUUAUUAUGAGUACUGAUUUUGCACACUUAUAUUUGUUUGAAUAAAUGGGAUUUCUCCAAUUCCCAAUAUUUGGUGUACUUUGAUACAUUGUUGCUUAUUAUAUAUGAGGUAUUUAUAUAUUGAUGUUAUGUCCAUGAAGUAAUUAAUUACUAUUAUACCAUUGUUAACAUGAGUUUGGCUAAUUAAGAAAAGAAUCAAACGAUAAAUGCAGUCAAGAUAAUGAGCAGCCAUACAUCGAGAAGAUGCCACUGUUGAUAUAAUGAUUCCUGCUUCAUUAUCUCUUCCAAGUUAUCCAUUUACAUAAGAAUAUUUUCCUCUUUCAAUAUAUUUCCAUGAUAAUAUUUUAUAUGAAUGUCAAAUUAUGUAUUAAAUUAAGGUAGUCGGUUUCGUACAGAUUUCGGUUAUAUUAAUUUGUGUAUUGUUUUAAUUUUAUACUGAAAUAUUAAUGCUUUUAAAAUUAGAUCGAUAAUUAAAUUAAUCGAAUAAUUAAUUCUCAAUCCAAUAGGUUUAACCACUGAUACAAAUAAUUUACUAUUCAAUAAUAUUAAUUAUUAAAAUCCCCAAACUCCUAUUUUGAUGGCUUUGAAUUUUAAAACCCUCUCCCCAUCUUUCAUCUUUCCUAAUUUGUCCUUUUUUUUUCCAUUGAUUGAAUAUUAUAAGUCCAUCUUAGUUUUUUACCAGAAAAAAGAACUUAUUUUAGUAGAAAAAGUAAGAAAAAAAAUGUUGGUUAUUUUUUUAUGUUGUGUUUUAUUUCAUUGAGUACAGAGAUGAAGUGUAACAAAAGCUCAAGGGAUUUGAAGUGAAAUUUUUAUAUUUCUGAUUUAGAAAAUGUGAAAAUACGGCUUAAUCGACUGAUGAUUUGCAGUUUAAUUGUAGUUUACUCUAGUUCUAGGGUUCAUCAAUUCUUGGUUUGUUUGGUUCAAUUUCAAUAACAUUGCGAAACACCCAACACCCUUUUUCUACACUGGUGAAAAUUUUGGUCCGUACCAGUUGCAUCAACUCAUUCUGAUCAAUUUCAGUCACACCUGUUAGAGCAUAGUGCACCAUCCUAUGCAUGAAUAAUAUUAAAAUUUUAAAAUUUUUAAUUAUUUAUUAUUAUGCUAAAAACUUAAUUGAAACGUGACUAAUUAAAAAUGUUACAUCGAAAUGUAAAGUUUUUUAAAAAAUGGAAUAUACUUUCACUUUCAAAAUAUAAUUAAGAAAAAAUCAUUCACUCGGUUAUCAAAAAAAAAUUCCGUUCACCUUCUAGCUUCUUUUAUUAAGUAACUGAGCUAAAUCCUUAAAUUUUCAUAUUAAAUGAUAGAUUUUUAUUAUUAAUUUUGGAUUUAUUUGAAUGAUAAAUUUUAUUUUUUAAGUUUAUUAAUAAAUAUUUUAUAUUUGAAAUGUAUUUAGUUUCAUUCAUUUUAUAUUUGUAAUAUAUUUAUAUACAUAUCUUAAAUAAUUUUAAAAAAUAUUGAUAAAUCUGAAAAGAUAUGUAUCAAUUUCAGUAAACAAAAAAUCAAACGUCCACUAAUACAAAGAAAAGAAAUCUCAAUUCUUAAAAUUUCAAUCCCUUUAUAUUUAAAGUUGAAGACAGUAGAAGAAAAAUAGAAAUAGGUAUUAACAAUGAAAUUAGAUUUGAAUAACGUUGUCACUAGGCAUAAUUUAUUGACAAUUUUUGUAAGAGGUUACAUGUAUUUAAUAUGACAUAAAAAACUGUUAAAUUAACUCUAAGUCAUUAUAUAUUUGUUAAUUAAAUAAUAGGAAAAAUUAAUUGAAAAUAAAAAUAAAACAAAAACGUUGAUAAUAGGUUAAAACUUAAUCCAAAUCAUUAUAGAUUUUUUAUUUAAAAAAUGAACUACAAUUAAAAUGGAAAAAAUAAAAAACAUGUGGCGCUAUUUUGUUUUGGGAGCAGGAAUGGAGCAUCGUUUAAGGGCAAGGGAUUUCUAUUCACUGCUCCAAUGCCUAUAUAAACCUCAAUACCAUGCUUUGUUUUCCUCACUCACAACUAUUCAGAUAAAAAACUUCGUUUCAUCUGCUUCGUUUGUUUCGAAAUCUCUGAACAAAAAUGGCCUCUUUCAAUUGCUUUGCUUUAGCAUUCUAGAUGGCUUUGUCAUUUGCAAGCAUUGAUGUUGGGGUAGCAGCUCGUCACCUUCUGCAGCAGCCUCAAACACAAAGUUUACCAUCUUUCCCUAAUCUCCCAACGCCAUCCCGAUCAUUGUUCCCAUGGCCUGGGGCGCUUCCUCCACUUCCUACCACAUUGCCAACAGGACUGCCCCCUCUGCCAAGCAUUCCCUCAGUCCCCACAAUCCCAACUGCAAUUCCCCCUAUUCCUUUCUCUUUUCCACCAUUGCCAUCUUUCCCUAAUCUCCCAAACCUUGGGGCGCUUCCUCCACUUCCUACCACAUUUCCAAGAGGACUGCCCCCUCUGCCAAGCAUUCCUUCAGUCCCCACAACCCCAACUACAGUUCCCUCUAUUCCUUUCUUUUCUCCACCACCUUCUCGUUCUACUCCUUGAAGUACCCCAUUUUUUUAUCUACUGCAUAUUGGAUCUGGUUUAAUAAGGUUUUUAGUCGUCUUUGUGGCUUUAUUAUGAGUACUGAUUUUGCACACUUAUAUUUGUUUGAAUAAAUGGGAUUUCUCCAAUUCCCAAUAUUUGGUGUACUUUGAUACAUUGUUGCUUAUUAUAUAUGAGGUAUUUAUAUAUUGAUGUUAUGUCCAUGAAGUAAUUAAUUACUAUUAUACCAUUGUUAACAUGAGUUUGGCUAAUUAAGAAAAGAAUCAAACGAUAAAUGCAGUCAAGAUAAUGAGCAGCCAUACAUCGAGAAGAUGCCACUGUUGAUAUAAUGAUUCCUGCUUCAUUAUCUCUUCCAAGUUAUCCAUUUACAUACGAUUACUUUCCUUUUUAUAUGAAUUUCUUUAAAUUAGGGUAGUCGGUUUCAUACAGAUUUCAGUUAUACUAAUUUGUGUACAUUGUUUCAAUUUUAUAUCAAAAUAUUAAUAUUUUUGAAAUUAGAUCGAUAAUCAAAUCAAUCAAAUCAUUAAUUCUUGAUUCAAUAGAUUCAACCACUGAUACAAUUAAUUUACUAUUCAACAAUAUAAAAUAAUAUUAAUUAUUAAAAACCCCAAACUCCUCUAUUUUUAAGGCUUUGAAUUUUAAAACCCUCUCCUCGUCUUUCAUCUUUCCUAAUUUAUCUUUUUUUUUCCUUUGAUUGAAUGUUAUAUGUCCAUCUUAGUUUUUUUUUAAAAAAAAAACUUAUUCUAGUAGAAAAAGUAAGAAAAGAAAUGGUGGUUAUUUUUUUAUGUUGUGUUUUAUUUCAUUGAGUGCAGAGAUGAAGUGUAACAAAAGCUUAAGGGGUUUGAAGUGAAAUUUUUAUUUUUCUGAUUUACAAAAUGUGAAAAUACGGCUUAAUCGACUGAUGAUUUGCAGUUUAACUGCAGUUUACUCUAGUUCUCGUGCUCAUUGGUUCUUAGUCUAUUUGGUUUGGUUCUAAUAACAUUACGAAACACCCAACCCUAUUUUUCUACACUAGUGAAAAUUUCGGUCUAUAACACCCUAAACCCGGCUUAGACAUCCAAACCAAGUUGGAAAGUCACAUCAACCGUUCUAAAAGCCAUACCACCAUAACGCAAUCAAAUUAAACAAGUCGUCAAAUAUUAUUGAUCACAAUAGUAAUUUAAAGACAUAAUAUUCAUAAAUCCAUAACAUCAUAAAACAAAUAUCCCUAAUAAUCAUGCUAGCAGAAUAUCAAUAAGUGUCUGACCAAGCUUCCGCGACACCGAUCCGAUCAAGACUGAUUACCACCUGAAACCCAAACAAUAACAUGGUGAGUUAUGAACUCAAUGUGAAAAAAGGAAUGUAAUUCAAUAACGGUGACUUAUGGAGAAUAUCCAGUUCAGAGAUUCAGUUCAUCCUAGAAGCAUGUUUGACCUAGGCUCAGAGCAGAUAUGUAUACAUGUAUUAUUCCAAUUCAAAUAUAGUUCAGAUCAGAUUCGGAUGCAAUACUCCUAUUUCCAUCCUCUACACACUAAAUUUUUCCAUCCCAACAAACCAUUAUGGACAUUUAAUGCCCAUCCAUCCCUGCACACCUUUAAAGUGUUCAAUGACACUUUCAUAGAAACGCAGCUUAGCUGCUAGUUCAAUGUGCGACAAGCGCUAGAAUCAGGGUGAUACUUAUUGUGGCAUAGCCACAUUUUCAGUACAGACUCCCCUUCUUCCUCACAAUCUCCCACCAUAUGUUAAUGCAUAAUACAAUAAUCCGUAACACAUGUUUAGCCAUUUUGAUAAAAUACAUAAUUAAUAAAACAGUUCAAUAACAGAGUGGUGUUACAAUGCAUAUUCAAGAAUGUGAUUCACAGAUCAGUCUCAUGUAAGAAAAUUCAGUCAUUCGUAAAUUGAGAAAACCAAUAUCAGUGUUUAGCACCCUUCUCAGCCUCAAAAAUAGUUCUCGGAUCAACAUCCUGCCACACGGCCUGAGCCCACCCAUGUGCCUUGGCCUUGGAUUUUUAUACCCCAAACAGUGAGUAAGACGGCCUGGGCACACGCCCAUGUCCCUGGCCAUGUGAACCUUGUACUAUAAUGACCGUACACAGCCUAAACACAUGCCCCUGUGGCCACCCAUGUGGUCUUAAUUCAAUAAACAAUGAGUUACACGGCUUACCACACACCCUUGUGACACUCAAGGCCUAGUCACACGCUCAAGAGAAAAUCAAAAAAGAAGAAAAAGUAGAGAAGAAAGAAAAACAAAAAGGAAAAAAAAUAAAAACAAUGGGAAAGAAGAACUAACGUUAAUUGAUUAUCAAUUAACAUCCAUUCAGACUUCCGGCAUUUAGCAAAAAUAUUUUCCUUACGCAUACUACAAGAUUCGAACUCAGAACCAGAUAGAAUACAGACAGAUGUUUAACCAGUGAACUAGCAGGCUCAUUCUUGUCACCCUUUUAUAAAGAGUUGAACUUAAGCGGAUAGUGCGUGCUUGUGGGUUGAUUCUAAAAAAACAAAACUUCUUAUGAUGUGACUCGAACUUCAAACCUUAAACUCAAUUGCAGAACACAGAACCAUAGAUACAGAAAUUAGUUACUGUAGAUUUUUACAAACAAGUUCUUAAAAUUUUGGGGCAUUACAACUCUUUCCCCCAAAGGAAGUUUUGGCCUCAAAAUUUUUGCUUAAGUCGAAUAGAUAUGGAUACAGCCAUCGAAUAGAUUCCUCUGGCUCCCACGUGGCUUCCUCAGUUCUGUGAUUCUGCUAGAGGACCUUCACCAGAGGAAUAGUUUUCUUCGUUAGUUUCUUAACGUCACGUCCAAGAUCUGAACAGGCUCUACCUCGAAUAUCAAGUCUGAUCGUAACUUAACCUCGUCAAUCGUAACAAUAUGUGAUGGAUUCAAUCGGUACCGUCUCAACAUCGAGACAUUAAACACAUCAUGAAUCCAAUCCAGCUCCAGCGGUAACUCUAACUUGUAAGCAACAGGUCCAACUCGCCUUAAGAUACGGUAAGGCCUUAUAAAUCUCGGGUUUAGCUUGCCCCUAUGUCUAAAUCGGAGGACAUUUUUCCAAGGUGAUACCUUUAGAAACACUUGAUCACCUACUGAAAACUCAAUAUCCUUCCUUUUUAAAUCUGCAUAAGACUUUUGUCAAUCAGACACGACUUCUAGUCAAUCCUGAAUUACUUUCACAAUGCUCUCAAUUUCAGAAACCAACUCAGGACCCAAUAUAUGGCGUCCUCUCAACUCCUUCUAACAUAACGAAGUAUGGUACUUACGGCCAUAUAAAGCUUUGUAAGGUGUCAUUUGAAUACUGGACUGAAAUUUAUUGUUGUAAGUAAACUCCGUUAACGGUAGAUACUCCUCCGAACUACCCCUGAAGUCUAUCACACAACCUCGAAGCAUAUCUUUUAGGAUCUGAAUGACUCGUUCUAAUUGUCUGUCGGUCUGAGGGUGAUAUGCGGUACUAAACUUAAGUCGAGUGCCUAAAGCCUCAUGAAAUUUCUUCCAGAACUAAGACAUAAAUUGCGGAUCUUUAUUGGAAAUAAUUGAGACAGAAAUUCCAUGUAGCCUCACAAUCUCGACGAUGUACAGUUUAGCUAACUUCUGUAAUGAAUAAUCCAUUCGAAUAGGAAUGAAAUGAGCCGAUUUGGUCAACAGGUCAACUAUGAACCAAACUGAAUCCUUUUUAGCAAGAGUUAAGGGCAACCCUGUAACAAAAUCUUUUAUUGCCCGCUCUUAUUUCCACUACAAAAUCUUAACCGACUGAAGCAGUCUAGAGGGCAAAUGAUGUUUGGCCUUAACCUUUUGACACGUAAAAUAGUGGGACACAAAAAUGACUACCUCUCGAACCCUAAACCCUAAAUCCUAAACCCUGAACUUUAAAGCCUACAACCCUAAACCCUAAACCCUAAGAUCCCGGCACAUCUUAUUCCCACUAAAAUGUAUAGCAUAGGGUCUAUUGUGUGCCUCCUACAGAAUCGAGUGCCUUAAUUCUUUGUCAUUGGGUACACAAAUCUGACCUUUGAAGCAUAACACAGUAUCGGUAUUCAAGCUAAAAUCAAAAUUCUCGUCUGAGCCAACAUGUUGCAAUCGCUGUAUUAAGGAUUCGUCAUUUUUUAGUUUACCUCGAAUUUGCUCUAUCCAAACCGAUUUCACUUAGAGUUUAGCUAACAACCCUCCAUCCUCAACCAAACUCAAACGAGCUAAAAUUACUCUCAGAUCCACCACUGCUCUACGGCUAAAGGCAUCAACUACCACAUUAGCCUUACCUAAAUGAUAUUCUAUGGUGCAAUAUAAUCUUUAAGUAACUCGACCCAUCAGCACUGAUGAAGGUUCAACUCUUUUUGGGUUAACAAAUAUUUGAGGAUCUUGUGAUCAAUGUAAAUAAUACACCUUUCACCAUACAGAUAGUGCCUCCAAAUUUUUCAAAGCAAAUACGACAUUAGCUAGCUCAAGAUCGUGGGUGAGGUAAUUACCCUCGUGUGUCUUCAUCUUCUGCGAUGUGUAAGUGACUACCUUACCGUCUUACAUAAGCACAUAUCCUAACCCAACAUGUGAAGCAUCACUGUAAACCACAAACUCUCGUCCCGAUUCUGGUUGAACCAAAACAGAAGCUUGUGUCAAAACGGUUAUCGAAAUUAGACUGCUGUGCCUCAGACCAUACUGUAGCGACGUAAAAAUUUUGCUUUGGUCGCUAAUUAAGGCGAUUUCUUGAAAAUUUGAAAACCAACUUUCGAUUUUAUAAACAAGGGAGUCGCCACCGAUCUUUUUCUAGUUGUGAUCGGACACCUAAUGAAUCAUCUUUUUAGAGAAGAAAAUUUAUUCUUGAACAAAAUGAACGCCGAAUUUAGGUCUACGUCAAAAACCAAAGUAAAGUUGGGUUCGGGAGUCGGUUACGUGGGAGGAAGGUAUUAGCACCCUCGCGACCCCAAAAUUGGUAUCUUUAUUAAAUAGGUGUUGUCUUGAUUUUCAAAAAUACGAAUUCAAUUUGACAUUUAAUCGUGAUCCGAUUGAAAAAUGAGAAUUUUUAGCUUUCGAUUUUUUUUAGAAGAGGUGUCCCGUUUUUAACACGAGCCAACGAACUUCACCCAACAUAGCAAUGAAAUUGAUGACUUAAUGUUAAAUCGGUUCAUUGCCUUAUUUAUUGAAAUUAGUAAAAAAAACAUGGAUAAAAAUCUUUAAAGUAGUGAACAGCAAAAUGAUAUAAAAUGGGCGGGAAACGAAAAAAUAAGAGAGUUAGAAAUACAUCGAAGCAAAUAAUAAAUAUGACAAUAAUAUUAAAAACAAUGCCAAUAUUUGUGAUAUUAAACAUGAUAAUAAUAGUAUUAAAUACGAAAUAGAGACGAGCAUAUAUAUAAACAUAUAAUAAUAAUGAGUGAAGUGACGUAAACAUACUAUUAAAAAUACUAAUAGUGCUAUAUAUAUAUAUUAACGUAUAUACGUAAUAAUAGGAAUGAAAAGUGUAUACAUAAUAAUACUAAAUAUAUAUAUACAUAAUAUAUGUACACAUAAUAUAUAUAAAAUGAACAUAUUAGAAAUACUAAUAACAUAAAAAAUAUAUAUUAGUAAUACUACAUAAAUAUGUACAUAUAUAUUAAAAUAAAUACAUAAUAAUAUUAAAAGUAUAUACAUAAAAUAGUGUUAAAAAUGCAUACAUAAUAUAGUUGUUAAUAUAUAUAUACAUAUUAGAAAUAAUAAUAAUGUUACAAAACAAUUAUUAAUAAUACUGCAUAAACAUGUAUAUAUAUGUUAAAGAUAUAUACAUAUAUAAUAAACAUAUACUACUAAUAAUAAUAAUAAUAAUAAUAAUAAGAUGUAUGUACACCAAAUAACACAUAAUAAUAUUAAAAUAAAAUAAUAAGUGACAAUAGUGAAAAUAGUAAGUAUAAUAAUAAAUAUAACGAUAUAUGAAAAUAAUACUAUGUAUGAAAAGUAUAUAUACCCAUAUAAUAAGAUAUAUGUACUAAUAUUAAUAAUAAAUAUAAUAGGGAUAAAAUAGAUAUAAUAAUAUAUACAUAAUAUGGUAUUAAAAAUAUAUAUGUCACAUAGUAUUCAAGAAUAUGCACAUGAGAUGAUAUAAAAAUAUAUACAUAAUAUAAUAAAAUAUAUGAAUAAUAUGAUAUUAAAAAAAUAUACAAAAUAUAAAAAAAUAUAAUAUUAAAAAAAUAAUAAUAAUAUACAUAAUAUAAGAGUAUUAAAAUAAAUAAAAAAUAUGGAAGGAAUGAGUAAAAAUAAUAUACAUAAUAAUAUAAUAAGAAAAUAAUAUAUUUAUAAUAAGUACUUAAAAAUAUUUACAUUUAUAUAUGUAUAAUAAUGAUAAAAAAUAAUAAUAAUAGUGAAAAUAAUAAAUAUAAUAAUAAAUAUAAUAAUAGAAAAAGAUAAUACUAUGUAAAAAGUAUAUAUACAUAUAUAAUAAAAUAUAUACUAAUAUUAAUAAUAAUUAUAAUAGAGGUAAAAGUAGAUAUAAUAAUAUAAAUAAUACGUACAUGAAAAAUAAUAAUAAAUAAUAAUAUAAAAAGAAAAUAUGAUAAAAUAAUAGUGUAUAAAAUAAUAAUAAUAAUAAUAUUUACAAUAAAAGAAAAUAAAAAGAGUGUAUUUAAAACUAUAUACGUAGUAUUAUUGAAACUAAUAUUAAAAAUUAAUAAUAAUAAUAAUAAUAAUAAUAAUAAUAAUAAUAAUGAUAAUAAUAUAAUAAUAGUAACUAUAGUAAUAAUAUAUUGAUAAAAUAAAAAAUAAUAGUGAUAAUAAGAAUAUUAAUAAUAAUAGUCAUAAGGAUAAUAUAAAUAAUAUUUAAAAUAAAAUAAAAUAGCAAAGAUAAUAUAAAAAUCAACUUAAAUUUAAAAAAAAAGACUAAAUUCGAAACAAAAACGAAGUUUUGGGGCCAAUUUAAAAAGAAAUAAAGGAAAAGGGAUUAAAUUGCAUGCACGAAAAAUAGUGCAGGGACUAAUGAUGCAAAAAAUCCAUUCGGCCUAAAACGCACAGCAGCAGAGGGACUGAAUUACCAAGCACAACAAAUUUCGGGUCAAAAUUUAAAACAACUAAAAACUUAAUUGCAUAAUAGAAAAAAAGCGGAGGGGCUAAAUGCGCAAAUAGCCCCUCCAAUGAAAACACGCGGAUCCUGAAGUUGGAGCGGGUCGGAUUCGGGUCAGCCAAGUCAAAACGAUGUCGUUUUAAGGCUUAUGAGCUUAGGCCAAAAUGACGCUGUUUUGAUCUCUUAUAAAAAUUAAAACUUUUACAAAAAAUCUUCAUUCUUUCAUUUCACUUAAAAAAAAACUAAAGCCCCUAAAAAUUUUCUCGCAACCAGCCUUCUGCAGGAGGAAUUCCGGCGACUUCUCCGGCGCCGUCCGUCACCGUCGGCCACCUUGCACGGUGGUUGGAGCUCCAAAAACGAUAAUUUUCUUCCUUUUUUCUUAGAUAUUAUUGAUAUACAUAUAUAUAAGACAGUUUUUUUUAAGAAAAUAUAAAAAAAUAUAGGUAUAUAUAUAAUUUCGAAUAAGAAAUAUAAGGAAAGAAAUGAAAAAAUUAUAACCUUCAAUAGUUGAAUCAAUCUCCUCUGUUCUUUAUUAUUUCAAAAACUGCCUUUUUUUGCAUAUGCUUGAAUCUUUUUGUAUUUUUGUCAGUUAAAAAAAAUCCAAUACAAGUGAUUUUGUGGCUUUUUAUAGCCAUUUUUGCAACUUGCUUUUUUUCAAUUCCUCUAUCACUUCUGUUGCAGGUGGAUGAGGUCAACGGUGGCAGAGUUGGUGAGGUAGGUGGAGCGGCGGUAUGGUGGAUGGGACAGAGGCUGCGGCUAGGGGGGCUAGGGUUUCUGAUUUCUAAAAAUAAGUUGUGGGCUGAUGUUAAUGGGUUAGGGCUUGUUUAAUUGGGUUUGGGUUUAAUGGGUCUUUGUAUGGGUUGGAAUAGGUUUAGGUCAAAAUGGGCCUGGGAUUUAAAUUGGGUUAAAUUUGGGUUUGGUCUUGGGUUUAUUUUUUAGUUGUAAUAGUUUAUUUUUGUAAAAGGCUCGAGUUAAUUUGGGCUUCUACAGCUUCCCCUCUUUGCUUAUUGUCGUGCAACGAGAAUAGAGCAAAGACUUUCAAGGAAGACCAAAUUUGCCCGGUCUUACUGAGUUUUGACUUGUUUCGGAGCUCCUCUUUUCCAAGUAGUCUCGUUCUAAUCCAUCGCAUCUUGUAGCUUUGGUUCAAUCCAUCGCGACUUCAGGGCUAUGACUUGUAGCUUCAAUCUACUCAUAUCUCCAGAGAUAUAAAAUUCGUUGUGAUCUGCUCUUCUACUGUAUCUUCAGGAAGAUAAGAUCUGCAACUUCAAUGCGCUCCACUACAACUUCGAUCAGCUCCAUUGUAACUUCAAGGUUCUGCUACAACUUCAGGGAGAUAAGACUUGUAACUUUAACCUGCUUCACUGCAACUUCAAGAAUAUAAGAUCUACAACUUCAAUCCGCUCUUCUAUCACUUCAGUGGGACAAGAUUUGUGGUCUUUUCUUCUGCAACUUCAGAAAGGUAAGAUCUGAUACCCUCGAUCAACUCCACUGCAACUUCAGGGUGAUAAGACUUGUAACUUCGUCCUGCUUCACUGCAACUUUAGGGGGGCAAAAUCUGCAUCUUCGAUCAACUCCAAUCUUAAUCCUCGGUGUGUGACCCGAGGCUCAACUUAUCUCUCGCAAUAUGAGCUGGCUUUUGAUAAAAACAGAAUUUGAAAAAUAGAAACUGAAAAUGCCUCAGCAUGUCCCGAGGUUCAACUCACCUCUCGCAAUAUGAGCUUAUUUUUUUGAAAAAUAGAAAUUAAAAAUAUCUCGGCAUGUGGCCCGAGGGCUAACUCACCUCUCGCAAUAUGAGUUGAUAGAAACUAAAAAUAUCUCAGCGUGUGACUCGAGGCUCAAUUCACCUCUCACAAUAUGAGUUGAUUUUUUUAAUGAACAUUAAUUAAAAUUACCUCAGCGUGUUCUGAGGCUCAACUCACCUCUCGCAAUAUGAGUUGAUUUUUUUGUUUUUUUUUUUAAAGAUAAAAAUUGAAAAUACCUCAACGUGUCUUAAGGCUCAACUCACCUCUCACAAUAUGAGUUGAUAACAGAAAUAAAAACAUCAGAAUACCAAAACAUGUCAUCUGGUGGAACUCAGGUGUCUUUUCCUUUGAUUUAUUACAUCUAUCAUCACAUCCUCUCGCUCUACUGGAGUACCUGUAUAUGUCAUGCGUGAUGUUAUCAUGAUAUGCACAUGUUUGUCUUAAAUGCCUUUAUGCCUACAUGAUUAUGCUAUGUGCCUUAGGCAUGUUUGUCGUAUGUCCUUUUCCGUCAAGAUUUUUUUUUUUUGUGAUGAUCUACAUUCAUUAUUUCGGAUCUUGACUCUCUCUUUAGGCCCGUACCCAUCCUCAAGCUUCACAAACAAUCUGCGUUUCUCAGAUAUCACUCUUUUGCCCCUGGUUAAACUUUGUCCUUUCUUUGAAACUCUUGUACUUAUCAAAUUCUUAUCCGGGUAAUGCUCAACAUUUCUUUUGUCUAGAGUAUGUCAUUUCACUAUUUAUCAUUUAAAUAAACCACAUAAUGAGAUGCAUAAAAAUGGUCAGGUAGAGACAACAAGGGUACCUCAGAUUUAUUUAUUUCAAAUGUAGCAAACAAAGAAAGUUAACCAAUGAUAGUAAAAAAAAGUGUCAUAAAGAGAAAAGGGAUCGCAUUCAACGAAUACAAAUGCUCUAGAUAUUCAACACAUGAACUCUUCCACGUUUCUUAAUUAAGAAUCUUUUCGAGCAUGGCUUCUUGCGUAGAAGAUUUCGAGCUACUGAAAAUGAUUCAAAUACUGUAGUUCCACCGUUUGACUCACUUGUUCAAAUCGUCUUACUCUUUGAGCCCAGGUCUUCUUCAUUAGGAUGCCCUUUCGGGUUUUCAUCCUAAUCUUUUGUGUUAAUCAAGACGCCCUUUUCGGGUUUUCACCUUGAUCUCUCUUUUUUUUUAGGCAUAAUAUUUCUUCAUAGCAUCUGAAUUCACUGGAUUAGGUAACUCCUUCUCGUCCAUCUCAGUGAGAAUCAAAGCUCCACCCGAGAAUGCCUUCUUUACGACGUAUGGUCCUUCCCAAUUUUGUGCCCAUUUUCCUCGCAUGUCUUUUUGUAUUGGGAGGAUUUUUCUCAGCAUGAGUUCUCCUUCAUAGAAUUCUCUCAGCCGUACUUUCUUGUCAUGGGCUGCGAUCAUUCUCUUCUGGUACAUCUGUCCGUGACAAAUUGCCUUUAAACGUUUUUCUUCGAUGAGGUUUAACUGGUUAUAUCGAGCUCGAACCCAUUCUACUUCCUCUAAUUUUGACUCCAUUAAGACUCGUAGAGAAGGGAUCUCAACUUCAAUAGAUAGCACAGCUUCCAUUCCAUAGACCAGAGAGAAAGGAGUUGCUCCCGUAGAUGUCCAUACAGAUGUGCGAUAUGCAUACAAAGCAAAUGGUAGCUUCUCGUGCUAGUUUUUAUAUGUCUCGGUCAUUUUCCCAAUAAUCUUCUUAAUAUUCUUGUUGGCCGCUUCAACAGCUCCGUUCAUUUUCGGGCAAUAGGGUGAUGAGUUAUGAUGCUUUAUUUGAAAUUGCUCACACACUUCCUUCAUCAUCUUGUUGUUCAGAUUCAAGGCGUUAUCUGAAAUGAUUCUUUCAGACAAACCAUACCGACAAAUGAUUUCCUUUUUCAAAAACCUACAAACUGCAGUCUUCAUCACAUUGGAAAAUGAAGCGGCUUCUAUCCAUUUUGUGAAGUAAUCAAUAACCACAAAAAUGAAUCAGUGUCCAUUAGAAGCUUUUGGGGAAAUGGGCCCUAUAACAUCCAUGCCCCACAUAGAAAAAGGUCACGGAGAAGUCAUGACAUGAAGAGGCGAAGGGGCUACAUGAAUCUUAUCGCUAUAAAUUUGACAUUUGUGGCAUUUUCUUGCAUAACUAAUGCAGUCACUUUCCAUCGUCAGCCAGUAAUAACCGAGUCUCAUAAUCUUCCUGGCCAUAGUGAAACUAUUGGCAUGUGUCCCAAAAAUUCCUUCAUGGACAUCUUCAAGUAUUUUCCUGGCUUCAACAGCAUCUACGCAUCUCAAGAGCAGUUGAUCUUUUCCUCUUUUGUACAGAAUGUCCCCAUCAAGAACAAAUCCUACUGCCAUUCUUCUGAUUGUUCUUUUGUCGUUCUCAUUUGCUUGUUCGGGAUACUUUUGAUUCUUGACAUAUUCUAGGAUAUCAUGGAACUAUGGCCAUCCAUCUGGCUCAUUUUCAAUGCUGAAACAAUGUGCAGGGACUUCAUAUAUGCUCAUUUGAAGAGGCAUUAUUUCUGUUUCUCUGUUCGCUUUGAACAUUGAAGCCAAAGUGGCCAGGGCAUCAGCCAAUUGGUUUUCUUCUCGUGGGAAGUAAUUAAAAGUUAUUUCUUUGAAUUCUUUAAUCAGUCCUGCCACUAGAUCGCUGUAUUUAAUUAAUUUCGAAUCUCUCACUUCCCACUCUCCGUGAAUUUGGUAUAUCACCAACGCUGAGUCCCCGUACACCUCUAAGAUUUCGACGUUUCGUUCAAUAGCUACACGAAGUCCCAUGAUACAGGCCUCAUAUUCCACUAUGUUAUUGGUACAGAAGAAAUUCAGCCUUGCAGUGAACGGAUAAUGGCUUCGUUCUGGUGAUACUAAGACUGCUCCAAUCCCAUGCCCCAAUGCGUUCGAUGCACCAUCAAAUCUCAUCUUCCAUGACUUCUCUUUUGGUGACUCGCACUCUUUUUCUGUAAUGCACAUCAAGUCUUCAUCCGGGAAAUCAAAUCUCAAUCGCUCGUAUUCAUCCAUUGUUCGAGUUGCUAAGAACUCAGCUAUUGCGCUUACUUUUAUCCACUUUUGACUCACAUAGACGAUGUCAUAUUCUAAUAGUAGGAUCUGCCAUCGUGCCAUUCUUCCUGAAAGUACAGGUGAUUCCAUCAUAUACUUUAUUGGGUCCAGCUUUAAAAUUAACCAUGUCGUAUGAUACAACAUAUAUUGCCUGAGCCUCCGAACUACCCAAACCAAAGCGCAACAGAAUUUUUCAAUUGACGAGUACUUUGCCUCAUAUUCUGUGAACUUUUUGCUGAGAUAGUAAAUCGCCUUUUCUCUUUUCCCUGAUUCAUCAUGUUGCCCCAGUACGCAACCCAUAGAAUUUUCGAACAUAGUCAGAUACAAUAUUAACGGUUUUCCUGGAAUUGGCGGUACUAGUACCGGGGGACUAGACAAAUACUGUUUUAUCUUGUCAAAAGCCACUUGGCACUCUUCGUUCCAUUCUUCUGGAUUAUGUUUUCGAAGGAGUCGAAAAAUUGGAUCACACUGGUUGGUAAGUUGAGCAACGAAUCGAGCGAUGUAGUUCAACCUCCCUAAAAAUUCUCUGACUUCUUUUUGUGUGCGCGGAGGUGGUAGUUCUUUUAUGCCUUUUAUCUUAUCUGGAUCCACUUCAAUGCCUCUCUCACUAACAAUGAAGCCUAGAAAUUUUCCCGAGGUAGCCCCAAACAUACAUUUGGCUGGAUUAAGCUUUAGCUGGAACUUUCUCAGUCUUUCGAACAACUUCCUGAGGUUCCCCACAUGCUCUCUUUCCCCCUUGGAUUUGGCGAUCAUAUCAUUGACGUAGACUUCUGUUUCUUUUGCAUCAUGUCAUGAAACAACAUCACCAUGGCCCUCUGAUAUGUUGCCCCAGCAUUCUUUAAUCCGAAUGGCAUCACCUUAUAACAGAAUGUUCCCCACAUCGUUACGAAUAUAGUUUUCUCCAUAUCCUCGAGAGCCAUCUUUAUCUGAUUAUAACCUGAGAAUCCAUCCAUGAACGAAAGCAAUGAAUGAUUGGCUGUGUUAUCCACCAAUGUAUCGAUGUGUGGCAAAGGAAAAUUAUCUUUAGGACUUGUUCGAUUCAGAUCGCGAUAAUCCACACACAUUCAUACCUUGCCGUCUUUCUUCGGUACUAGAACUAUGUUAGCUACCUAUUAUGGGUACUUGGAGACUUGUAGGAAGCCAGCAUCAAAUUGUUUCUUGACUUCUUCUUUUAUUUUUAACAGUAUUUCAGGUUUCAUUCGUUUUAGCUUCUGUUGAAUGGGUUUGCAUUCUGGUUUCAGUGGGAGUCUAUGGACCACUACAUCCUCAUCCAAUCCUGGCAUGUCCUGAUAUGACCAUGCAAAUACAUCUUUGUACUCAUGAAGCAAAGCAAUCAAAUCAUGUUUGGUGUUAUCUGAAAUGGAGGUCCCAAUCUUCACUUCUUGCCUCUUUUCUUCAUUUCCCAGGUUUACUAUCUUGAUAGAUUCUUGAUGAGGUAGAAUCUGUUUAUCUUCUUGUUCUACCAUUCUUAGUAAGUCAGGAGACGAGACAUAGUCUUCAACAUUUUCCUCAGGUUCAAACUCUCCUAAGCAAAUAGCCUUUUCGAAAUCGAUUUCAAGAUUUGUAACGGGUUUGUUCAUAUCAUUGAUAUCUGAGUACCUGAAAGUUGAAUGGAAAAGAAACUAUAGAGGAGCAUCAACGUAUUGGGACCAACAAGCAUAAUAUUAUAAUGUGAGAUAUAUGGAAUGACAGGCUGUGAGAAGAAGGAAAAAGUAUGAAGUUAAUGAGAAUGAAAAGACCAUGACAAAAGUGCAUCUCCAUUAAUGUUCAUUUAAAUGAUAAAGAGCAAAUUAUAAGCUCUUAAAGAAUCCCUACUAUUACUUAGGGACACACAAAAAGAAGAGUGUUAACAUUGAGCAUUACUCUGGAGAAGACUUAGAAACUACAAGGAGAUCCACAAUAGUCCAAUUGUUCAAAAUGAAUCCAGGAGGACAAGGGCGUAUCAUUGAAACAUCUUUAAUUGCAUCAUCUCUUUUGUCAAUGGCAUUUAUACUGACAUUCUGAAAACCCCUUUGAAUUAAUAACAGCAUGCUUCGUGGAUUAUCUUGCCCGGGCUAUAUCAUUCCUGCAGAUGUAAAUGUUUUUGACAAAGGAGGGUACGUUAUGGGCCCCUAUUCUAAUUCUCGGCCUAAGGCUCUUGUAAUCCGCCUUUCUCGAUCUUUCUGCAACUGUUUUCUUCUUUGUCACAUAUCUGGCUAGAACCCUAAACCAUAUCGAGCCUUAUGGGGCACUGGUUUGAGAGCUCUAACUAUUCCUUCCUGAUAUCUUCCCAAACCUUUUUUUGCUCGGGCUCCCUUUCCCACAGUCAACUGAAUUCCCAUCUUGGUACUCCUUGACAACAUGGGCAUGGGAACUUUAUUUCUUUCAGCAACGAACGUAGCAUUGAUGAAUUCAAAGGAAUGGAAGGAACAUUCUACUGCAUCCUUGCUUACUUCGAGGUAUGGUGUAUCAGCAGAGAUAGAUACGACAAUGUCUUCCUCACCCACGACGGUGACCAAAAGACCAUCCAUGAUAAACUUCACUUUUUGAUGGAGAGAUAAAGGAACUACCCCAGCAGAAUGGUUCCAAGGCCUUCCUAAAAGGCAAUUAUAUGAAGGCGUGAUGUCCAUGACCUGAAACUCGAUGUCAUAUAUAUAGGGGCCCACUUCUAGAGGAAUUUUAAUUUUUCCCAUAACUUCUCGUCUUUUCCCAUCGAACGCUCUUACUGUAGAGUGACAAGGCCUUAGAUGAGAUAAAUCAAUUGGAAUUAUAGAAAUCGUAGCCAAAGGCAUGACAUUGAGUGUCGACCCAUUAUCAAUGAGUACAUUCGGUAUUAUAUAACCCUUGCAACGGGUUGUGAUAUACAAUACUUUUACGGAGCCCCUACCAUUUGGCGGUAUUUCGUCAUCACUGAAAGAAAUAAAAUUGUCCGCAUUCAGGUUAUUCACCCACCUAUCAAGCUUUUCGACAGAUAUAUUACUUGCCACGUAAGCUUGAUUUAACACUUUCAGCAAAGCAUUCCGAUAUGGUUCAGAAUUCAACAGUAGGGAUAAUACCAAGAUUCGUGCCAAUUGUUUGCUUAACUGUUCCACGAUGUUAUAUUCACUAUGCUUAAUGAACUUCAAGAAUUCAUGUGCUUCCUCUUCAUUCACAAGCCUUUUAACUUCUUGUUCGGAUGGAGUUUCGAGUUCUACCUCGGCCUCAUGCAUCGGUGCCUUUCCUUUCUGGUUUAAGUCACUCAUCUUUUUCAUUGGUUCAACCAUUUUAGAAUAACAUCUCCCGUUGCGAGUAAAAUUUCCUACUUCACCAACACUUCCAGUCAUGGCUUUGGAUUUUUCACCUUCAGGUGUGAUAAUGUUGACAUCGUAUUUCCAUGGUACUGCAUUGUUACCUUUGUAAGGGAAUGGAGAUAGUACUUCAAUUAUCAUUUUCGGUUUCACUUGUUCUUUUUUUACAUCGUAAUAAAUCACCAAUGGUCGAUCGGUGCUAUAAGGGAAACUUGAUGAUUGAUUGUCAGAAGCGCAUACUUCUCCCUCAUCGGCAUCUUUGUUAAAGAUCCCAAUCUCCUUGUUGUCCAUUAUGUCUUGAAGUAACUUUCUAAAUUCUUUACAAGACUGAAUGUCAUGCCCUUCAAUACCAUGGAAGUCACAAAAACAUUGACUUUUUAUAUUUCCUUCUUUAAAAAUUCUGUAGGGGCGACAGAACAGUCCCUUUUCAACCAUCACCUUCCAUAUCUUCUGUAAAGGUGCCUUUAUUUCAGAAACGCAGUUGUUGGUUCGCCACUUGUCUUCCUUAGUCACCGCGCUCACAUUCCCUUCAAUAUGGUUAGGGAGUGAAUUUCCAGUUGUAUUUCUAGUACCAUCAAAUCGUAAGAUGCCUGCAUCAAUGAGGCCUUAAACCCUCCUUUUAAAUGCUAGACAAUUUUCUGUAGAAUGCCCCUGGUUUCCGGCGUGGUACAUGCAACUGCAUUAGGAUCGUACUAUUUUGGGUAUGAAGGCUUCAAGGGUGCCAUAUAAUGUAGGGAUAUUAAUUGUUUUUCAAAUAGUUUUGGGUACAGCUCUCCGUAUGACACGAGAAUUGGGGUGAACUAGGGUUUUUCAAGAUUGGAUCUUGUCGGUCUUUGUUCAUCUUUAGGUUGGCUUUGAGCUGGCAUGGUAUUCUGUGGGAACUUAGUGACUGGUCUUUGGUUAUUUGUGGCGUAGAUGGGGUAAGAAGGGUAAUGAGGUGGUGCUUGAUAGUAAGGGCUUUGAGGAUGAUAAUAGAAGUUUGGAGGUGGGCGAUAUCGAGGUCGUAACUGGGUUGGAUACGGAUUAGCAGUGUAGUGAUUCUUAUUUCCCACCAUAUAGGCUCCUGCCUCUUUUUUCUUUACAGGUGUUUCCCUUUUCGAGCUCUCGGAACCUUCCAUCCUUCCACUUUUGAUGGCAUUUUCUAUAAGUUCCCUAGAUAUUACAAUAUCUGCGAAGUCUUUCGUGGCACUUCCUACCAACUUAUCAUAAAACGGUGCUUUCAAAGUGUUGAUGAAGAGGACCAUUAUUUCAGUUUUGGUCAAUGGAGGUUCUACUUGGGCUAAGAUAUCCCUCCAUCUUUGCGCGUAUUGCCUAAAAGUCUCUGUUGGCUUCUUUUCCAUCAUCUACAGAGUUAGUCGAUCAGAUACCAUGUCAGAUACAUGCUUGUAUUGUUCGUAAAAUACUGAUGCCAAGUCUUUCCAUAAUCGGAUCCUUUCUCUACUAAGUUGAUUAUACCAUCAAAGGGCCGAUCCGACCAAGCUGUCUUGGAAAUAGUGUAUUAGCAAUUUAUCUUCAUUCACAUAACCAGUCAUCUUCCGGUAAAACAUGAUAAGAUGCGCUUUUGGACAUCCCAUGCCAUCGUAUUUUUCGAAAUCUGGUACUUUGAAUUUCGAAGGAAGAACCAGAUCGGGCACCAAACUGAGCUCUUUGGCACUCAAUGCAGAGAAGGCUUCAGUACCUUCUAUUGCUUUGAGUCUUUCUUCCAAACUCCUAUACUUAUCCUGAACAUCAUGAUCAUCCAUUUUCAACCUAGCUAUUUCUAACGGGUCAUCCAAAUCUGAAACAUUGGGAGCUGCAGGAUUAGCUUCGGGGUUCGAUACGAAUAUACCUUGCCCUAGAUGAGCAGGGGGUACGGGUCGUUGCUCCACGCUUGUAGGUUCUCCUUGAGGACGUUCUCUUUGCAUUACAUGUGCUUGAGGUGGAGUGAAUCCUGGGGGAUAGAGUGGAUCCUGAUCAUGAUUAGCUCUUGGCUGGGGCUCCAUAGUGUCAGGCCUCUGCAUAGGUCCCUUUCCUUUGACCAAAGCUGUCAUCAUCUCCAUCAUUUUGGCCAUCUGACCUCUUUACUCGAGCGAUUCCUCUCGAGAUCUUAACAUCAAAUCUCUUGCUUCCUGUUGUGACUUGGUCAACUGCUCUUGCAAUUCUUUUUGGGCCCUUUCCAUCCUUUCAAUUCUUUCAUUGAACUCGGCUUCCAUAAUUCUAGCUUUUCGACGCAUCCUAUAAGAAUGGCGUAUUUCCAGACUUGUAGUGUCGCAACUGCGGAUUAUAUGGUUUUAGCCUCAGUGAAUGAUUAUGGUGAUAUGUACAUGCAAUGAAUGAAUGAAUGAAUGAAUGAAUGAAUGACAAAUAAAUGUUGAAUAAACGAUGAAUGAAUGUUAGUCAUGAAUAAAUAUGCAAGAAUUUGGUGUUAAUUUCAAGAUAGCCCCAUACUUAGGCAUUUCAUUUAUCAAAAGAGUCUAUUACAAAAUGUUUCACCAUUUUUUUUUAUUCAACAGUUACACAAAUUUCCUAGCCACAUUGCCUUGUUUCUUCACUCGCUCUAAGAACUCUGACAUGCUUGAUCUUUGGCUCAGAGGAAAUUGGCAACUGAGAGCUUCAGCUUCAUCUGAUAAUUGCACAACUUGUAUAGCUGCCUUGCGAAUUUCAUUGAUCAAAAAGCCGAGUUGUAUUUCUUUUUCUUGGAGAGCUCUUUCAUAAGUGCUAGUGUCUCUGUUGUACUGAUCAUUCUUUUCUUCUAGAGCUUUUAGAAGAGUAUCUAACUGUUACUGACGAGAUUGCAGCAUAUUUUCUAGAUCUCGUAUUUUCCUUCUUAACUCUUGACGUUCGGACUGACUAGUCACAAAUUCUGCGGUCACCGUUUCAUACUCAGCAUUCUUUUUUCUUAAUUCUAUCAUAGUACGCGCAGCUAUUUCUUCUUCUUUCUUUGUUUGCCCUUUUCAGAAUGCCAUCCCUCCUUUGAUGCUGCUAAUUUCUUCCUUCCAUUCUGCUGACGAUUUGCCAAACCCACUAUUUUUUAUAGUGCUUCUUAAUUUCUUAUUUUUCAAAUAAAGGUCCCUUAAGUCAUUUCUCACGAUCUCAGCUUCUCUUUGGAUUUUCAAGGUUUGGGACUUUUCAAUCUGAACAUCGAUCUUUAGCUAGUAGUUUUCCUCUUGAAGAGAACUGAUAUCCCGUAACAACUUAGCAUUUUCACUUUCAAAUUCGUGUCUUGUUACUUCCAGCUCAGAUGGCAUUUCUUCUGAGAAAAGAUUCUGGAAAGUGUUUUUCGUCAAUGAGACUUGUUGACUAUUCACUCGUCGUUUUCUUCAUAUGUCAUAAUCUUGAGUGAUAGUAUCAGCAUAGAGAGCUAACUCCAUUAGGUGAAUUUCUUUCCAAGCCUUUGCAGUAUCCCGGACCCUUUUCAUGUAACCUUCACCUGUAAAGGCAAACUCUGACUGUGCCAACCCUCCGGUAGCAGGUAUGAACUGUCGUGAAGCAAACUGCCUUUGAACCAUUAACGGAGCGUAUCCAAUUCCUCCCCAUAGUCCUAGUAAAGGCACCUAAUCUUGGCUUCCUCAUUUGCAUAAUAGAACUGAAGGACAGAUCCAUGGUGCUCUCCAGGUUAUAUCUUCAGUGCAAACAUUCUAAAAAAUCGAAACCCAGUACUGCUCGGUGACAUCUUUCGACCAAUCUUUCUAAAAGUAAGCCUUUAAUGGGGUGAAUGUUUUUGAGAACAUAUGGAAAGGUAUACGCUCUACUUUCCAGAAAUGGCUCAGAAUCCGGACAUUAAGCAAUUGCACGCAUCCGGUAAAACAUCCUUCCCCUUUUCUCUUACAACUACUCAGGGAUCUAAAAGUCUCAGCCAAGAUAGUUGGGACGGGGUUGAUCCCUUGCCCCAACCUUUCGAAGAAAUCCACUACCGCGACUUCUACAUGUCCCAAAACCUUUGAGAAGACGAUCAAUCCGUAAAUGGCCAAAGCAAACAGAUCAAUUCUCUUCGCAACAUCUGGAUGGUUUUGAACUAAGUCUCGCAGAGAAAACCACGGAACACAACUGACUUCAAUCUUUUUCUUUAUCUAUUUUUCAGCACAUAUAUCGGUUAUUCCGGUCAACCUCACUAGCUUUUUCUUGAAGGUCAUUGGCUUAGGCUCUUUCACAUAUAUCUUGUUGAAUUGUACAUUGUCAACACGAAGCAAAGUAGUAUAUUCUUCUAUGGUCGGAGUCAUAGCUUCAUGAUUGAAAGUGAAACAUCGGUACGCUGGGUCCCAGAAUCGAAUCAUGGCUUGAAUUAACUGUUCGUCUACAUUGACGGUGAACAAGUGAGCUAUAUCCCCGUACUUUUCAGUGAAAAUCCCCCUAGUAUCUGAGUCUCACUGUUUCCAAAUCUGAGUCAAGUCUUCGAGGUUAUUCUGACGAACGUUCGAAGUUACAUUUUCGGGAAGAUUGGAGAUACAUCCUUCCGUUAAACUGUCCCCUUUUACUUUCUGGGUUUUCAAAGACCAAUCUCGAACCACGACAUUUUUCUCGGUUACUUGCGUAAUUGACUCCUCCAUCAAAAACCUAUUUUUGGCAACCAAUCUCUAAUCAACACAUUCCUAAUCAAGAUGCCUACGAUGCGUGAUGAAAAAUAAAAAUAAAGACAAACAACCUUGGUUAGUAAUCACAACAAAUAUAAACUGAGAAAAACUAUGGAAACUUUAACAAAUUAAGCUAUCCGAUUCAAUUCUUUUGUAUAAACAGUGUAAAUGUAAAGGAAAUGAAAGGCAAGAGGCAUUUCUCCUGUGUACUUAUUUUGGUGAUUAUUAACGGACGGAGGUUCGGCAAGACUCUAGUUAGGUGGCUCGUAUGCUUCACUAUAUGCGGUUUCGGUUCAAGACAGGUACUCGAAUUGUUUGCACUAUCGUCUACUAAGACUAAUACGAAGCCUCAAUCGUAGCCCAUCACAGGCUCACGAGUUCAAUUCGAGGGAUUACAUUCACUUAUGCCUAUGCGGAGGGAUAAGUUAACUCACGAAAGCAUAAGUCAUAUGUAACCCGAAAGUAUUCACUAGCUUGUGCGGAGGGACGAGUUAACUUACGAAAGCAUAGCGUUUACUUCCACUUAAGCGGACGGAGCCAGGGAAGAGAGCUCAUGUUAUGCAAAAAUGCAAGUGCUCGGUGUGUGGAGAGAAACUCACAAACCUUUUUGUUUUUAUUUAAAACUAAAAGAAGCUAAAACUAUAAAGACUUAGAGCUGAAAGGCAAAAGGCUAAAACAAGUUAGAAAAACAUAUUUACAACAUGAUGCAAAUGCAUGAUUUUUUGAAAACAAAAUUUUGAGGAUCAUGACUAAUUAUUAAUUUGAACAAGGAAAUUUGAAAAUUUUGACAACACGCGUUUAAUUGGACUCGACUCUCAAAAAUAAGUCCCCAGCGAAGUCGCCAGCUGUAGCGACGUAAAAAUUUUGCUUUGGUCGUUAAUUGAGGCGAUUUCUUAAAAAUUUGAAAACCAACUUUCGAUUUUAUAAACAAGGGAGUUGUCACUGAUCUUUUUCUAGGUGUGAUCAGACACCUAAUGAAUCAUCUUUUUAGAGAAGAAAAUCUAUUCUUGAACAAAAUGAAGGUCGAAUUUAGGUCUACGUCAAAAACCAAAGUAAAGUUGGGUUCGGGAGUCGGUUACGUACGAGGAAGGUAUUAGCACCCUCGCGACGCCCGAAAUUGGUAUCUUUAUUAAACAGGUGUUGUCUUGAUUUUCAAAAAUACGAAUUCAAUUUGACAUUUAAUUGCGAUCCGAUUGAAAAAUGAGAAUUUUUAGUUUUCGAUUUUUUUUUAGAAGAGGUGUCCCGUUUUUAACACGAGCCGACGAAUUUCACCCAACAUAGCGAUGAAAUCGAUGACUUAAUGUUAAAUCGGUUCAUUGCCUUAUUUCUUGAAAUUAGUAAAAAUAAAAAUGGAUAAAAAUCUUUAAAGUAGUAAACAGCAAAAUGAUAUAAAAUGGGCGGGAAACGAAAAAAUAAGAGAGUUAGAAAUACAUCGAAGCAAAUAAUAAAUACGACAAUAAUAUUAAAAACAAUGACAAUAUAUGCGAUAUUAAACAUGAUAAUAAUAGUAUUAAACACAAAAUAGAGACGAUCAUAUAUAUAAACAUAUAAUAAUAAUGAGUGAAGUGACGUAAACAUACUAUUAAAAAUACUAAUAGUGCUAUAUAUAUAUAUUAAAGUAUAUACGUAAUAAUAGGAAUGAAAAGUGUAUACAUAAUAAUACUAAAUAUAUAUAUACAUAAUAUAUGUACACAUAAUAUAUAUAAAAUGAACAUAUUAGAAAUACUAAUAACAUAAAAAAUAUAUAUAUUAGUAAUACUACAUAAAUAUGUACAUAUAUAUUAAAAUAACUACAUAAUAAUAUUAAAAGUAUAUACAUAAAAUAGUGUUAAAAAUACAUACAUAAUAUAGUUGUUAAAAUAUAUAUCUACAUAUUAGAAAUAAUAAUAAUGUUACAAAACAAUUAUUAAUAAUACUGCAUAAACAUAUACAUAUAUAUAUGUUAAAGAUAUAUACAUAUAUAAUAAACAUAUAAUAAUAAUAAUAAUAAUAAUAAUAAUAAGAUGUAUGUACACCAAAUAACACAUAAUAAUAUUAAAAUAAAAUAAUAAGUGACAAUAGUGAAAAUAGUAGGUAUAAUAAUAAAUAUAACGAUAUAUGAAAAUAAUACUAUGCAUGAAAAGUAUAUAUACCCAUAUAAUAAGAUAUAUGUACUAAUAUUAAUAAUAAAUAUAAUAGGGAUAAAAUAGAUAUAAUAAUAUAUACAUAAUAUGGUAUUAAAAAUAUAUAUAUGUCACAUAGUAUUCAAGAAUAUGCACAUGAGAUGAUAUAAAAAUAUAUACAUAAUAUAAUAAAAUAUAUGAAUAAUAUGAUAUUAAAAAAUAUAUACAAAAUAUAUAAAAAAUAUAAUAUUAAAAAAAUAAUAAUAAUAUAAAUAAUAUAAGAGUAUUAAAAUAAAUAAAUAAAUAUGGAAGGAAUAAGUAAAAAUAAUAUACAUAAUAAUAUAAUAAGAAAAUAAUAUAUUUAUAAUAAAGUACUUAAAAAUAUUUACAUUUAUAUAUGUAUAAUAAUGAUAAAAAAUAAUAAUAAUAGUGAAAAUAAUAAAUAUAAUAAUAAAUAUAAUAAUAGAAAAAGAUAAUACUAUGUAAAAAGUAUAUAUAUACAUAUAUAAUAAAAUAUAUACUAAUAUUAAUAAUAAUUAUAAUAGAGGUAAAAGUAGAUAUAAUAAUAUAAAUAAUACGUACAUGAAAAGUAAUAAUAAAUAAUAAUAAAAUAAAAGAAAAUAUGAUAAAAUAAUAGAGUAUAAAAUAAUAAUAAUAUUUACAAUAAAAGAAAAUAAAAAGAGUGUAUUUAAAAGUAUAUACGUAGUAUUAUUGAAACUACUAUUAAAAAUUAAUAAUAAUAAUAAUAAUAAUGAUAAUAAUAAUAUAAUAAUAGUAACUAUAGUAAUAAUAUAUUGAUAAAAUAAAAAAUAAUAGUGAUAAUAAGAAUAUUAAUAAUAAUAGUCAUAAGGAUAAUAUAAAUAAUAUUAAAAAUAAAAUAAAAUAGCAAAGAUAAUAUAAAAAUCAACUUAAAUUUAAAAAAGGACUAAAUUCAAAACAAAAACAAAGUUUUGGGGCCAAAAAAGAAAUAAAGGGAAAGGGAUUAAAUUGCAUGCGCGAAAAAUAGUACAGGGACCAAUGAUGCAAAAAAUCCAUUCGGCCUAAAACGCACAGCAGCAGAGAGACCGAAUUACAAAGCACAACAAAUUUCGGGUCAAAAUUUAAAACAACUAAAAACUUAAUUGCAUAAUAGAAAAAAAGCGGAUGGGCUAAAUGCGCAAAUAGCCCCUCCAAUGAAAACACGCGGAUCAUGAAGUUGGAGCGGGUCGGAUUCGGGUCAGCCAAGUCAAAACGACGUCGUUUUAAGGCUUAUGAGCUUAGGCCAAAACGACGCCGUUUUGAUCUCUUAUAAAAAUUAAAAUUUUUACAAAAAAUCUUCAUUCUUUCAUUUCACUUAAAAAAAACUAAAGCCCCUAAAAAUUUUCUCUCAACUAGCCUUCUGUAGGAGGAAUUUCGGCGACUUCUCCGGCGUCGUCCGUCACCGUCGGCCACGCACACGAUGGUCGGAGCUCCAAAAACGGUAAUUUUCUUCCCUUUUUCUUAGAUAUUAUUGAUAUACAUAUAUAUAAGACAGUUUUUUUUAAGAAAAUAUAAAAAAAAUAUAGGUAUAUAUAUAUAAUUUCGAAUAAGAAAUAUAAGGAAAGAAAUGAAAAAUUUAUAACCUUCAAUAGUUGAAUCAAUCUCCUCUGUUCUUUAUUAUUUCAAAAACUGCCCUUUUCUGCAUAUGCUUGAAUCUUUUUGUAUUUUUGUCAGUAAAAAAAUCCAAUACAAGUGAUUUUGUGGCUUUUUAUAGCCAUUUUUGCAACUUUUUUUUUUAAUCCUUCUAUCACUUCUGUUGCAGGUGGAUGAGGUCAACGGUGGCAGACUUGGUGGAGGCAGGUGGAGCGGGGGUAUGGUGGAUGGGACAGAGGCGGCGGCUAGGGGGGCUAGGGUUUCUAAUUUCUGAAAAUAAGUUCUGGGCUAAUGUUAGUGGGGCUAGGGUUUCUAAUUUCUGAAAAUAAGUUCUGGGCUGAUGUUAGUGGGCUAGGGUUUGUUUAAUUGGGUUUGGGUUUAAUAGGUCUUUAUAUGGGUUGGGGUAGGUUUAGGUUAAAAUGGGCCUGGGAUUUGAAUUGGGUUAAAUUUGGGUUUGGUCUUGGGUUUAUUUUUUAGUUGUAAUAGUUUAUUUUUGUAAAAGGCCCGGGUUAAUUUGGGCUUCUACACAUACGAAUGGAGCAUUCUUACGUAACAGCUUCGUUAAAGGUAAUGCAAUCAGAUAAAACCCUUUGACGAACCUUCGGUAGUACCCAGAUAAACCAAAGAAGCUACGAAGUUCGAACAUGUUUUUUGGCUGUUUCCACUCAGCAACAGCUUUAAUUUUCUUAGGAUCAACUCGAAUCCCUUCCGCUGUCACCACAUGACCCAAAAAGGCGACCUCCUGCAACCAAAUCUCACACUUGCUGAACUUAGCAUACAACUGUUUUCCUCGGAGAGUCUGAAGUACAAUACGGAGAUGACCAUUAUGCUCAGUUUCAAUUUUAGAGUAGAUCAAAAUAUCAUCGAUAAAAACCACUACAAAUUGAUCCAAAUACGGUUGAAACACCUGAUUCAUUAACUCUAUAAAAGUCACCGGGGUAUUCGUUCAUCCGAAAGGCAUUACUAAAAACUCAUAAUGUCCAUAACGAGUUUUGGAAGCAGUUUUUUACACAUCAGUCUCUUUGACCUUGAGCUGAUGGUAACCCGAGCGUAGGUCAAUUUUAGAAAAGAUAGACGCUUCCCGAAACUGGUCAAACAAGUCAUCAUUCCUUGGUAAUGGAUACUUAUUCUUGAUUGUCAACUUGUUCAACUGCCUAUAGUUAAUACGCAUCCUUACCGACCCAUCCUUCUUCUUAACGAAUAAUACCGGUGCCCCCCACUAAGACACACUCGUUCGAAUAAAUCCUCUAUCAAAGAGUUCCUGAAGCUGUACUUUUAAUUCAGUCAGUUCGUUUGGUGCCAUACGAUAGGGAGUAAUGGACACUGAAGCAGUACUUGGUAACAGAUCAAUUCCAAACUCCACAUUUCUAUCCAGAGGUACUCUAGGAAAUUCCUCAAGAAAGACAUUUGGGAAUUCUCUUACGGUACGGAUAUCUCCAACUAAUAACUUUUUGGAAGCAAAUUUGAUACAUAAGCUAGGAUGUCGUACACCCCUUUCGGACUAAUUUGUUUCCUACUAGAGCUGAGAUUACGUUAGUGAAGUAAUCUCGACGCUCUCCAACCAUUACCACCUCAUCAUUUUCAGUCGGUCUCAGUGUAACUCUUUUGGUUGCACAGUCUAAACUGACCCAAUAUUCAACGAGCCGAUCCAUUCCAAGAAUUAAAUUAACCUCGUUAAAGGGAAAUUCUAUUAAAUCAGCUGGAAAUAUCAUACCCUGAAGCUCUAGGGGUACUCGUCUAUAUACCCUACCAACUCGAAUUAACUAACCCAACGGACUAAUCAUAAAAAACUCUCUAGCAGUAUUCUCAGCAGUUAAAAACCCAGAGUUACAGAAACAACACUAGUUAUGUAUGAAUGAGUAGAGCCAAUAUCAAUGAGAGUAUAAUAUGGUACAAAAUGGAUAAAGAAGGUACGUGCAAUGACAUCAGCAUUAUCGCUUUUCUCGUGAUGUCUAGACGCAUAAACUAAUGCCAGCUGACGAGUCUCAGCCUAACCAGCACCUCUACUCGGUGUUAACUGUCCUCUCCCAGCUCCGUUACCACCACCCCUACCAGUACCACGACAUCUGAAAGGUUGUUUAGUCUCUCUCAGAGAUCGAACAGAGUUUGGGGCUGAAGUCUGUACCACACUUGGCACUGAAUUAGGUCAACGGGGACAAUCCCUAACUCGAUGCUCCAUCGAACCACAACAGAGGCACGCUCUUAAUUUCCUCCAACAUUUGCCUUGGUGGCGCUUCCUACAAUCAGUACACUACUGAAUAUCAAUCACUACAACUGGUGUCUCAACUCUCAGGGGCAUGUCAGACCACACUCGCUUCUUAGGGUGUUGAGCAGAACUAGAGGGACCCGAAUCCCUCUUAACUUUAUUCUGAUCCUUCUCACGGUCCCGCAGUUCAUGCUCAAUGCACUUCACUUCUUUCACUAUUUUCGCUUUAUGAACCAAAAUCGCAAAUACUAGCUCCUUCUGAGAAGCUAUCAAAACCCGCAGUUCAUAUCUCAAGCCUUCUUCGAACCUUACACACUUGUCAUAGUUAGAUGCUACCAAAGUCCAUGCAUAUUUUCCCAAUCGCAAUUAUACUCAGCCAUAGAUCGGUCACCCUGAACUAGGCUCAUAAACUCGCAUCGAUGAGCCUCAACAUAGCUUGCCCCUACAUACUUACCUUUGAAGGCAUUCUUGAAAUAGUCUCAGUUCACUUGCUCAAGCUGAGCACCAUGCUCAAUGGUAAACCACCACUGAUAAGCUUCGUCUUGGAGUAGAGACACUGCGCCCCUCAAUUUUUGAGUAGGAGUGCAGUCAAGAUCUAUCAUAAUACAUUUGGUAGCCUCGAGCCAAUACUCAGCAACAGUAGAGUGAUACUACCAAGCCCCGAGACUCAUCAAGGGCUGACAAAGAACCUUUGGGGCUGCCCUUUGGUCCGAUAACUCGACCUCGUCCAAAAGAUUCAAAGAUGCUGUUUCGACUUUAGCUAGUCGAGUAUGGAGAGAGAAUGUUGCUAGGCUCAUUGAACGAGCAUGGACAAGUCACCCGAGCAAGCCUUGCAACCUUCUAAAGCCCAUCUUGUUCAUUCAUAGACCAUUGAGCUCAACUCCAGCUCGUUUUUAACUUAGCAAUAUUUUGUUGCUGAAAAUAAGGAUUUCAAUCCAUUUUAGCUAUUUUAGUUUGUUUCUUUAGAUAUGUCAUAGUUUGAACAUUAUUAAUAUGAGUCUUUAAUUAUGUCAUAGUUUGAACAUCAUUAAUAUGUAUUCUGCAUUUAAUAAAGUCAUGCAUUGUGUAACUUUCAUGUUAGUUAAGUGUGUAUCAUUAGAUUAAGUCAUGCAUUAAGUAACUUAUUUGUUCAUUUAGUUUACAUCUUAAUUAAAUUAUGCAUUUAAACAUCUUAUUUGUUUGUAUUAGAGUGUUAUUUAAUUUGGCUGUUGCUUUUUUAUACGUUAUAGUGUGUUUAAUUUUUCUUAAAUAAAAUUAAUUAUGUGUUCAAUUUUUGUUGUAGGAAAGUUCAAAAGGCUGGACACAUAUUUUAAAGCUACAAUAGGGUUGUUCAUUUGCCAAGAAGAAUCAAAUACUUUCACAUUUAAACGGCUGUUCAAUUUUGGCAUAAAAGAGUGUGCAUUUGGUCACUUAAUUGCUGGUGCAUAAAGGGAACGUUUUUGUUGGAUAUUGAAGCACUAAAGCUCAUUAUGGUGGCUUUUCAAAUGGACCAAGAGUAUCUCUUCAAGUCUAAUCAAUUUUUGGAGUCUUUUUCCUUCAUUAUGAUACCAUUAAAAGAGGAAGUUACACGAGCUUUAUGAUUCGAUUACAAGGGAGUUAAAAUGACAUCAACUAAGCACAAUAAGAACACAUUAAGUCUUCAUUAAUUGAUAGAGUCAUGCUUUUUCAUCUAUACCAUGAUCAAAUGAAAAGACAUGACCAUUGGAUUUCCUACAUGAGAUAAAUAUGAAAUUAAGGCUUGUAAUAACCUUAGUUAAUUGCUGAAGGUGAAAGCUCACAAAUAGGUGUUCGAAUAGUCAUAAUAGCGCCUAUAAAUAGAUUGUAAAAUGAUAUUAUUUUGGUUAAGAAAACUUUUGAUACUUUUAUGAUUUUUUACAUCUUUGUGAGUUUACUUCAACUCUAAUUGUUUUUCUAAGACUCAAGUUGACUUCUCUAGCAUUGCUAGUGGCAUCCAACUUGUUUUCUUUGUGAACUUAUCAUUCUUUGAGUGUGGCAUUCAACCCGGAUGCCUUUGGUUCCUAUCUCCUUAUAGAUAGUGGGUUAAGGUCCUUUUUAACCAUCAACCUUUCCACCUUAAAAGUCAAUAUAAGAUUCCGGUCAAUACUCCUUAUAGUAUUGGUUCUUUCUUGGACCUUAAGCCUUUUUCCAUCCAUCCGAAUUAUUCCUAUCAAAAUUAUCAUUUUUUUCUUUAUUUAACCGAAAUAUUCACUUGGACUAUUCCAAAACACUUAAAAACCAUUUUUUCUUUAGCCUACACUCAACCGAAUUCACUUAACUCUAAAUUGAACGAAACUUCUCUAUUUUACGAUCAGGCAAUACUACGACUCAAAAUCAACUCACAAGACGAGAUCGUAUCAAGGAGUGACUCUUAUGACGCCCCUAAACAUUUCAGCACCAUUCGACCAGAGUCGUUCAGUAAUCGAACCUCAGCCUCCUAAUCCCAGAUGGGUCCCAGUGACCCUCUGAAGAGCCUAAAUCAUGGCCUGGGACAGUGCGUCAUCCCCAGCCGUAGGAGUCUAAGACUCCGCUUCUGCAGUGGGAGUACCAACUUUAUUUUUGGUCUCUAGAUUAGGCAUGCUACCCAUAGAGGAUGACUCGGCUCGAGCUCCUCUCCAAUUUCCUCGAUGGCCCCGUAUACCCCGUCCACGACAACCAUGCGAACUCAUAUUGCAAUCUAACGACAAUUUCAGAAUACAUAGAUCAGUUCACACAUCCAGGAAAAUGAUUUCACCAGUUUACACCAAGCAAUAUACCAAUAACAGUUAGGUAUCAUAAUUUUACAACAGAACAAAAAUACUUACUGGGUCAGCGUCGGAGGCUCAGUCGUUCCCUAAUGUUUCAAUGUUUCUGUAUUAGUUCAGUUACUAAUUGUUACUAGCCACAGUUCUUACACAUUAAGAGCCUAAACACAUUCCAAGUGUUGACAAACCUGGCUUUGAUACCACUAAAUGUAACACCCUAAACCCGGCCUAGACGUCCAAACCAAGUUAGAGAGUUACAUCAACCGUUCUAAAAGCCAUACCACCAUAACGCAAUCUAAUUAAACCAGUUGUCACAUAUUAUUCAUCACAAUAGUAAUUUAAAGACAUAAUUUCCAUAAAUCCAUAACAUCAUAAAACAAAUAUCCCUAAUAAUAAUGCUAGUAGAAUACGAAUAAGUGUCUAACUAAGCUUCUGCGACACCGACCUUAGCAAGACUGAUUACUACCUCAAACCCGAACAAGAAUAGGGUGAGUUAUGAACUCAAUGCGUAAAAAUGAAUGUAAUUCAACAACAGUGACUUAUGGAGGAUUUCCAGUUCAGAGAUUCAGUUCAUCCUAGAAGCAUGUUUGAUCUAGGUUUAAAAUAGAGGUAUUACAUAUGUAUACAUGUAUUAUUCUAGUUCAGAUAUAGUUCAGAUCAGAUUCGAAUGCAUUGUUCCUAUUUCCAUUCUUUACACACCAACUUCUGCCAUCCCAACACACCAUUGUGGACAUUUAAUUCCCAUCCAUCACUACACACCUUUAAAGUGUUCAAUGACACUUUCACAGAAAGACAACUUAGCUCCUAGUUCAAUGUGCGACAAGCGUUAGAAUCAAAUUGAUACUUAUUGUGGCAUAGCCAUGAUUUCAGUACAGACUCCCCUUUUUCCUCACAAUCUCCCACCACAUGUUAAUGCAGAAUAUAAUAGCCUGUAACACAUGUUUAGCCAUUUUGAUAAAAUACAUAAUUAAUAAAAUAGUUUAAUAACAGAGUGGUGUUACAGUGCAUAUUCAAGUAUGUGAUUCACAUAUCAGUCUCAUGUAAGCAAAUUCAGUUGUUCGUAAAUCGAGGAAACCAAUAUCAGAGUUUAGCACCCUUCUCGGCCUCAAAAAUAGUUUUUGGAUCCAAAAUCCUGCCACACGACCUAGGCACAUGCCCGUGUGCCUUGGUCAUGUGGUUUUUAAGCAUAAAUAGUGAGUUGCACUGCCUGGGAACAUAUCCGUGUCCUUGACCAUGUGGUUUUAUACUGCAAACAAUGAGUUACACGGCCUAGGCACACGAGUGGUUUUUACACCCUUAAUAGUGAGUUACACGGCCUAGGCAUACGCCCGUGUCCCUGGUCGUAUGAACCCUACACUAAAAUGGCCACACAUGGCCUAAACACACGCCCGUAUGGUCUCGUAAAAACCUUUAUCUGUCAACUCUUGAAACUGAGCUUUUAAUUCUUUCAAUUCAGUCGGAGCCAUUUUAUACGGAGUAAUAGAUAUCGGUGAAGUCCCCGGUACUAAGUCAAUACUAAACUCAACUUCUCUAAUCGGAGGUAACCCAGGCAACUCUUCUGGAAACACAUCCGGAUAUUCACAAACCAUUGGCACUAAUUCAGACAUCUUUGUAUUCAACACAUAAGCAAGAUAAGCUUCACAACUUUUCAUUACAUAUUUUUUGGCAGACAUCGAAGAAAUCAUAACAGGUAACUCACCCGACUUAUAUGAAUCAAUCUGAAGAGUUUCACCAUUUUCACAUUUCAGUUCAAUAAUCUUUCUUUUACAAUUCACUACAGCAUUAUGCAGUGCCAACUAAUCCAUACCCAAAAUAACAUCAAAUUCAUCAAAUGACAACAACAUUAAAUCAACCGGAAAAUAGUGACCUUGAAUCAUCAAGGGACAAUUCUUGCAAACUCUAUCAUGACAAUUCUUGCAAACUCUAUCAACUAAUACAUGUUUGCCUAAAGGGUUUGACACCCUAAUCACAAAUUCAGUAAACUCAACAGGCAAGCUCUUACUAGCUACCAAUUUUAUAUAAACAUAAGAAUGAGUCGAUCCAGGGUCAAUCAAUGCAACUACAUUAGUAUUAUAGAGAGAAAAAGUACCAAUGAUAACAUUGGGAGAUGUCACUUUUUCGUGAGCACGGAUGGUAUAGGCUCUAGCAGGCGCUCGAGCUUCGGAUCUCAUAGCUGAAUAUUUCAUCACACCUUUACUACUAGUUCCAUUUUCAUUAUUUCUCGGUGGCAUACCCCUAUUGGUAGUAUUACUCGGCCUUGCACUCUAAAAUUUUUCUUUUUCCGUAAUUUUAUGGCAAUCUCAGAUAAAAUGCUCUUGAGAACCACACUUGAAACAAGCCUGACCAUUUAUCCUACACUUGCCAAGAUGUCUUCUUCCACAAUGCUGACAUUCGGAUCUGUUAAGCCUUACAUUACCCACAUUUGCCAUUGACGUAUCUUGAGAUUUAAAACUCGAGUAUUGUUUCCCACGGUCUCUGUGAGAAUACCCAGCUGAUACAUUCGAACGAGAAUACAUUUCUUUAUAUUUCUUUGAUUGAGAUGAAAAUGACUCGUCAAUCUUUUCCUCAAAUCUCUAGCUUCACAAUCAACUUUCAUCUUCUCUUUAUUCAACUCUUCGGCCUUACAAGCUCGCUCAACUAACACCACAAAUUCUUUCAACUUUAAGAUCCCAACCAACACACGAAUAUCCUCUUUCAAUCCAUCCUCAAACUUCUUGCACAUGAUAGCCUUAGUGGAAACACACUCUCGAGCAUAUUUACUAAGUCUGACAAAUUCUCGCUCAUACUCUAUCACUGACAUUCUGCCCUGUUUCAGCUAAAGAAAUUCCUUACAUUUUUUAUCGAUGAACAGUUGACUAAUAUAUUUCUUUCGAAACUCCUCUUGAAAGAAAUCCCAGGUAAUUCUCUCUCUCGGUACCAUAGAUGCUAGCGUAUUCCACUAAUGAUAUGCAGAAGCUCUCAAAAGUAAGAUGGCACACUUUAAACAUUCAUUUGGUGUGCAAGACAACUCAUCAAAUACCCUAAUGGAAUUUUCGAGCCAAAACUCGGCUCUCUCGGGAUCAUCAUCCAUAUUAGCUCUGAUAUCUUCAACCCGUGCUUUUAGAUCUUAUCAACUGGGGGUUUGUUCAUUCUUACAAAUUCCAUACCUUGUGGAGCUAUGAGAACCAGUCGAGGAAUAGGUGAGGGUGGAGGAGGUUGGGUAUUCAGAUUUUUUUCGAACAAACUCUGUAUACCACUUGUUCAUCAUGUGGAGAAAGGUCUCCCUAUCCCCCUUCUCCUUGACUAACCGUAGGAGGUUUACUUUCAGACUACGCUGCCCUUUAAGCGGGAGCCAAUGCAUUACUUUCAAUGUCAUCAACCUGAGCUCAAUCAGGAUCCGUUUACUUUAUGAAAACACAAUUUAAAAUUGUCAGGAGCCAUCAUACUCUCAUAGUUCAAUUAUCGCAUGUAUAACUAGACUUUUACACAUGCUACGUUAGUCCAAGAAUCGACUAAACUGUAGCUCUGAUACCACUAAAUAUAACACCCCUUACUCGUAUUCAACUUCAUAACCGAGUACGAGGCAUUAUCGGACUUAAACACAAGCAAACAUACUUUUUCAAUCCAUAAAUUUUUGUCCAAAUUAAACCUUUUACACUCAAUCAUAAAGUCCUUAAUAAGAGCCUACAAGGCCCAAAACAUGGUUUGGGAGUGGUUUGGGACUAAACCGAGAACUUUAGAAAAUUUUACAACACUUAAAAAAAUUUUCCACUUAGAAAAUUUUUCCACUAAACAAUGGUCACACACUCGUGUGGGCAGGUCGUGUGGUCUCACACACCCGUGUCCCAAACUCGUGUAACUCUCUGUUUUUCACCCAAGAACAAAUUGAAGACACAUGGCCAAGUCACACGCCCGUGUGUUAAGCCGUGUGGUCGAUUUAAUUAUUUUGAUUUUUCAUGAAAUAAGUGCAUACUUCACAUGCAUAGGAACACACGCCCGUGCCUGAGGCCGUGUCAUCCACACAGUUGAGAUACACGCCCGUGUCUCUGCCCGUGUGCUUAAUUCUGAGCAUUCUAUUUUGUAAAAAUUAGGGUGCAGGGGACACACGGCCUAAACACAUGCCCGUGGGACAAGCCGUGUGUCACACAUAGCCUAGACACACACUCGUGUGUCUACCCGUGUGGACAAAAAUAAGGCUAUUUACCAAGCCAUUUUGCCACCCUUUGAUGCACACACCUACACAACACAACAUAGCACCAAUUCGAGCAUAUACAUACAAUCAAAUCAGCUACAACCAAGACAUCAACACAACACUCACAUGCUACCAUCUAUCAUACACAAACAUCACAUACUCAUUAACUCAAACCAAGUAAAGAUCCAUAUCCAUGAAAGACAUCAUCAAAUAAAUCACUGAUACCAAUAGUAACCAAUUUCAAAUGGCCUUAUACAAAAUGAACUAUCAACCAAUAUGAGUCAACACAAUUGGCCAAUUCAAUUAUGACACAUAACAAAAUAACCAAGUCCCCUAUACAUGCCAUAACUCAAAAUGUUGAAAUCAUUGGUACCAAAAUAAUUGUUUAUAGUGUGAGUGGAUCUCUGACAGUCUCGAAUCCCCGAGCUAGCUUGGUGACACUAUAAGACAAGGGAAAGAAAAGGGGAGUAAGCUAUAUAUCUUAAUAAGUUCCUAUGCAAAUAAUAAUCAUCAUAUCCAACAUUUUAACAUACAAUUAACAUGAUAACAAUUUACAUAAAUAUUAUUAAGAUCUUAUAAUCAUAACUUACUCAAUCAUAACCUUACCGAGGGUUCCUCACAUAUCGAACUCAUUACGUAUGAGUUUUACGUACAUACCUGAGUCAUCUCAAAUUUGGAUUUGCCCGCAAUUCAUCUUUGACAUACUCGUUAAAUUACCCGUUAAACCACUUGGAAUAUUAAAGGAUUAUAACUGUCCAAUUUCAGUGAAAUCGGAACAGUGGUUUCAUGACCACAACCCGAGCUAAAAAGAAAAUUUUAUUUUAAUAUUAUGGCAUGGUCUAUAUUAUGAUGGAAAAGUGGCAUGAAAAUUUUGAUAAGAAAAUUUUAUUGGUUUUGUAGUUAAUUGAUUAAAAAUGACCAAAUAAUAAUAAAAAAAGUGUAUUUUCGGGACUCUGUUCCAGUAAAUCGUAGUUAAUUAGGUUUUGAUUAGGUGAGUUUGACUUAAUUAGGAGUAAUUAUGAAAAAGUGCUAAAUUGCAUAAAGGGUAAAAAUUUAAUUAUAAAUUAAAGAAAGUUCAAAAGACCAAAUAGGCAAUUAUGCCAUUUUUAAAUGUAGAGGCAGUUUACAAUAAAAAAUAUCAAAGUUAUUUUAAUUAAAAAUAUAUAUUAUAUAUUAUAUUAACUUAAUCAAUAAGUAAUAUAUUAUUUUAUAUUAUUAUAUUAUUAUAUUAUUACAUUAUAUAUAUUAUAUUAUUAUAUAUAUGUAAAACAAAUGAAAAAGAAACAAAGAAACAGAGUAGGUUGAAACGAACAGGGAAGAAAGAAAGAAAGAAAAAGAAAAAGGAGAAAUUAGGGUUUAAGGAUUCAAAUUCAAUUUGAUCCAGAAAACUCAAAUACGAAGCUAGAUCGAGGAAAGGAAAAAGUCCUGGAUUAGUAGACUUUUGUUUACAAACAAGUAUCGAGGUAAGUUCCUGUAACUUAAUAUUGAUUCUUGAAAUGUUGGAUUGUAUGAUUAUGUGAUAUGAAUGUUAAUUGAAUAUUUAAAAUAAUGUGAUCCUAUGUUUGAUAUGACUUGAGAAAAGAAAUAAGUCCCGGUUGAAUAAAGGAAAUUCGAUGAAUUAUUGUAAAGGUGAUUCUGCAUAUGUUGCAGACAGGAUUUAACUUGGACGAGUAAUCCUGAUAAGUUUCUCGAGCAUUAUAAGGUAGAAGCAUAGUAAUUGGUAGUCGUAUAUAUUGUGAACUAUCGUAGCUCUUUAUGAGCAUCAAGGUAUAAAUAUAGUGAUUGGUAGCAAUUCUGCAUAAGUUCUGGGCUACCAUAGUUCUGUGUGAGCAUCGAUGUAUUGGUAGUAAUUCUGCAUAAGUUGUGGCCUAUCGUAAAUCUGUGUGAGCAUCGAAGUAUAUGAUUUACCCAAAUGACUUGAAAAGGUGGCUCAAGAGUUUUGUACACUUUAAGUGUACUAUACGAGAGUAUCCAUCGAUAUUCCAAUAAUUUCAAUAGGAAAAACUUAGAAAAUGGUUAAUUGGUUUGAAUAAAUUUCUUUUAAAAAUGUACAUGUGGUAUGGAAUUAUAAGCAAGUAUAAAUUAUGAUAUAGAGCUCAUCUAUGUGAUGAUAUUAUCUGUAAUUGCUUGACUAAAUUUUGAUGAUGAAGUUAUAUGUGAUAGGAUAAUGAUUUAUUUGCUUGAAUACAUGUAUGUUUGAUUAAAUUUAAUGGAAACACUUGGUAAGUUGGUUUCUAGUUUCAUGAACUUACUAAGCAUUAAAUACUUACUAGGUUUUAUUUUUUAUGUUUUAUAGUGCUCGGAAGCUCAGAAAGGUUGAAGAUAAGUCGAAGCAUCAUCACACUAUCAAUCUACUCAUUUUGGUAUUAAAAAAUGUUUUUAUUUUGUUAUAAUGGCAUGUAUAGGCUACUAGUACCAAUGUUAAUGAUGAAUUGGAUGAAUGUAAUCUAGCCAUUGGAAUGGCUAGUAAUGACUUGAUUUUGGUAUGUUUAUAAAGUAAAUUAUGGUUAUACAUGUAUGCUUGGUACAUUUUGGGGUAAUUAGAUUUAAACAUGUAUGUUAUGGAAAUGUAAUAUAUUAAUUAAGAUUUAAAGCAUACAUAUCAUGUUAAAUGUUUGAAAUUGGCUUAUAAAUAAUGCUUGAAUUGGAUGGUUGGUAUUAGGAAAGUUUUGUGCAGGUUUUGGAUGAAAUGGGUGAGAAAUAGGGCUUGAAAAAUAGCCUUAUUUUUUUCCACACGGGUGUGUGACUCCUAUAAGUAAGAAAAAAAUUUUGGAAGUUUGCGAAAAAAUUUCCUCGAGAUAUCGAUUAGUCCCGAAUCGAUUCUAAUGCAUGUUUUGGGCCUCAAGGGUCCAUUUAAGGGACGUUAUGACUAAUAUCGAGAAAUGAAUAGUGUUUGAAUCGAUUUACCUAAAAAUGUUUUGUAAACUCUGGUAAUGCCUCGUGAUCCUGUUCUGGUGACGGAUACGGAUUAGGGGUGUUACAAGGAUACUCAGGAAUCUCAUACAUACAGUAUCGUACCAAUGUCAUUUCCCAGAUAUGGUCUUACAUGUAAUCUCAUAUCAAUGCCAAUAGCCCAGCUAUGGUCUUACACAAAGUCUCGUACCGAUGCCAUAUCCCAAAAAUGGUCUUACAUGUAAAUAUCAGUAACCCUAAUGUCAUGACAUUUGUAUCUUAUCUAUUCCUAAGGUUCAAUGGGGAUUUCAAGCUUAUCGAAACUUUGUCGAAUACAUACAAGGGUAAAUUAAAAUUCAUACAAUAAUAAAACAUUUAAAACAUAAUUAAAACAAUGCAUUAUUUACAUAUGAACUUACCUCGGUACAAAAAUAGUAUAAAUGGGGCCUAAUCGUCAAACACUUUGUUUUUCCCCCGAUCUAAGUCCGAACCUCGUUUCUCUUGAUCUAUAAUAGAAUAUUUAACUCAUUUAUAUCCAAAUUGUUCAAUUCAGUCCAAAAUUUACAUUUUGGCAAAAUUACAUUUUUGCCCCCUAAACUUUGACAUUUUUACAUUUUGGUCCUUAGGUUCGUAAAAUGAAAUGGAUUCAAUUCCUUCGAUUCCCAAGCCUAGCCGAACCUCUUUCAUGCUUACAAAAGCCCAUAUUUUCCAUUCUUUUACAUUUUUACUACUCAUUUUAUAACUUUUUACAAAUAGGUCCCUUUUAUGUGUUUCAUCAAAAAUCACUUAGAAAAACUUGUUUAUUUAACAUUAAACUUGCAUUAUCUACCAUUAAACAUCAAAAUACACACAUGUAUAACAUGGUUCAAACCCUAUACCUUAAUCAUUUCUCAAAUUAGUGGUAGAAAUAGAUAGAUUGAGUGUCAACGACUUUAAAAAUGUAAAGAGCAUUAAAAACGAGACAAGAACACACUUACAAUCGAGCUUGAAAUUGGCCAAACCCUAGCUAUCUCUUCCUUAUAUUUUUCAGCACAAGGGGGAGAAGAUGGACAAGGUUUUUGGCUUGAUUUUUGCUUUUUAAUUCAUUUAUUUACCAAAUGACCAAAAUGCCCCUAACUUAAAACAUAAAAUUUCUCUUACCUCAUAUCCAUUUUUGUCCGCUAACUUAACAAAUGGUUUAAUUACCAUUUAAGGACCUUCAAUUUAAAGUUUCAUAGCAAUCAGACACCUCUAGCAUAUAGAACUCAAGUUUUGCAUUUUUUUGUAAUUUAGUCCUUUUAACUAAAUUGAGUGCUCAAACGUCAAAAUUUUUGAACAAAAUUUUCACAAAAUCAUUUCAUAAAACUUUAGACCAUAAAAAUAUAACAAAAAUAAGCUUUUUUGCAUCGAAUUUGUGGUCCCGAAACCACUAUUCCAAUUAAGCCCAAAAUUGGGUUAUUACAUCUAUAAUGUCAAACAUAAACUUUAAUUUAAUGUGCACUAUGACACUUAAAUUAUGUUAAUUUUGUGCAAUUGUAUAUAAUAAAUUAUGAUUUUGAUUUAAUUUAAUUUGGGUUUGAGGCUCGAGUUUUUUGGGCUGAGUCAUUAUGGGUUUUGAUUAUUUCACAUAUUAUGACAAUUCAACUGCUGUCUUUAUAGCUAAGAAUGACAAAAGUGGAAAUCGAAGUAAACAUAACGACAUUAAGUAUCUAGACAUAAAGGAACAUGUUAAAAAAAGAAAGUGGUCAUUGAGCACAUUAACACUGAGCAGAUAUUAGUUGAUUCUUUGACUAAAGGCAUGCCACCACCCAAAAUUUAAGGAUCACGUUGUCUCUGUGUGACUUGUUCCCACCUUGUAAAAUUUUAUUAUAAGAACGAUUAUAAAAAAAACUCUGUUAAAUUAUCUCUAAGUCAUUAUAAAUUUUUUAAUUAAAGAUAGGUAAAAUUAAUAGAAAAUAAAAAUAAAACAAAAACGUUGAUAAUAAGUUAAAAAUUAAUCCAAAUCAUUAUAAUUUUUUUAUUUAAAAAAUGAACUACAAUUAAAAUGAAAAAAAAACAUGCGGCGCUAUUUUGUUUUGGGGGCAUGAAUGGGGCAUUGUUUAAGGGCAAGGGAUUUCUAUUCACUGCUCCAAUGCCUAUAUAAACCUCAAUGCCAUGCUUUGUUUUCCCCACUCACAACUAUUCAGAUAAAGAACUUUGUUUCAUCUGCUUCACUUGUUUCAAAAUCUCUGAACAAAGAUGGCCUCUUUCAAUUGCUUUGCUUUAGCAUUCUUGAUGGCUUUGUCGAUCAUUUGCAAACUUUGAUGUUGGGGAAGAAGUUCAUCACCUUCUGCAGCAGCCUCAAACGCAAAGUUUUCCAUCUUUCCCUAAUCUCCCAACCCCAUUCCGACCAUCAUUCCCAUGGCCUGGGGCGCUUCCUCCAGUUCCUACCACAUUGCCAAUAGGACCGCCCCCUCUGCCAAGCAUUCCCUCUGUCCCCGCAAUCCCAACUGCAAUUCCCCCUAUUCCUUUCUCUUUUCAACCAUUUCCAUCUUUCCCUAAUCUCCCAAACCCUGGGGCGCUUCCUCCACUUCCUACCACAUUGCCAAGAGGACUGCCCCCUCUGCCAAGCAUUCCUUCAGUCCCCACAACCCCAACUACAGUUCCCU
rnacentral:lncRNA from 1 species